AACACAAAAAGUAUCAACCUGGAUAGCAGGUGUAUCCAGAUCAAAUGUAUAUAUGCCCUGCAGUUUGGAAUAACAAAAUACUUUCAGCAACCAGACUAAUAAUCUGGCUCAGAAGUAUAACUGAGAAAGAUAAAGAUUGCCAUUUUAUGAUGCGUAACAUAUUCCAUACAUAAGGGUAUCACAGUAUAUAUUCAUUGUCUAUGACCCCUGUGGAUUCAUUUGUCAUCUUACUUUUAUGGAUUCGUGCAGCCAGCCACUUCAUUUUUCUUUAUUUUUUAUUUUUUGUAAAUAACUCCAACUGUGCGUAGGGGGAGGGCUUGGCAAACCCCUACUUGAUAAAGAAUAAAUACACCAUGGAGGUGACAUAGAGCCUGACCUCCAAAGUUGGUUUUCAUUUUUAUAUCCUGUGCUAUGAAGUACCUGGGUGCAGUGGCAAUCUUCCUGACCUUGUCCAGCAAAUCCACGUUUAAGUGAGGCUACUUCGAACCAUCUUCCAGCGUAUCUAACUGGGUCGAAGUUCUUAGCUGUCAUACCUCUCAUCAUCAUUCCACUUCCCCCAUUAUUCGCCUCAUCAAAAGGAAGACUUUGCACAUUGUUGGUAGGACUUGCGAGCUGGCAUAUAUUGUUGUGAGAAAGAUUUGUUGCAACAGCCUGCCCAACAGAACUAGAAUUAGUUUAGGAAUAAUUUAUUUAAAUUCAGAUUGAUAUUCUUGUUUUUAUGUUACUGUUGGUCGCUAGGAGGUCUUUCAUAUCUUACUGAAAAAUAUUUAACGAGCCUUCAUUACCAUGCCAACACGUCCUAUAAUGAACUAGUUUCUUAUGGGAAAGCGAGUUCCACCAAAUAAUCUGCUUCAUUCGCAAGCACUUUAAACCCACCCUGUUCUUGAAUGUAGUCUUAACAAGUGGAAUAAUUGUACUUUACACUUUUUCCCUGGCUGGGAUCAAGCUUCACAGUGAAUCUAUGUGCUUGCUCUUGUUUUUUAUAUCAUUGCUCAUGUACUUAAGAGAUUAAGGUUUAACUUAGAAGCUUAUCCAAGACCACAGAGAAAAACAGUUAGGCUCAAAAUUCUACUGUAUGUAGCAAGAUCGUGCACCAAAAGCUACAAAUAUGCAAUAUAUAUAUACAAGAAUGAUCUCUUAAGCACCGGUGCUUAGCUUAUGUUAAGCACCGAUGACAUGGCACAUCAUUUAAUUGAUAAAUCAUUAAAUAUAUAAAAUCUACCAUUAACUUAUUCACUAAUUAAAUAGCAUGCCAUGUCAUCGGUGCUUAGGAAAUCAUUUCCGUAUAUAUAUAUCCGGACAAACUUACACAGCAAUGUUUCGAAAGCAUAAAGCAAAUACUAACAAGUGGCACAACUUUUCACUGAUAUACAGAAGAUAUCAAUUUCCAUACCUUGUUUUUCCUUGUAUAAGAAAGUAAAAGGCGAGCAUAGUAUAUUCAAACGUGUCAUUCUGCAAUUUAAUAAUACUGACCAGAUUUGUCUGGGAGAGAAAGACUGCUGAAGCUGCAAGACCUGAUAUUAUUUGUUUGAUUCCUGACUUAGCCGAUAUAGGGUGCGUAGAACAGCGAUCCGGCAUUGCUUUGGCUGGCAUUCCCCUAAAAGUAAAUGGGAAAGUAUGACACGAGUAGAUUAUACAAGAAGCCCCAUAUAACAGUACGGAAAUGCAAUAAAUUUUGAUCAUACACAAACUUUAUCAUUACCUAAAGACAGUGAAAUUAAAAUUCCGAAAUUUUUGUUUCCCCAAUUAGUAAAACUGAUUAAAGCAGGCAUGUAUCUGUGUGCUGGAGUCAAAAACAUUUACAUAAAAUCUGUACCCCUAUUGCAUGAAGCCACUAAAUUUAAAGGUGAAAAGGGGAAACUUAAAUGAAAGAUGAUAAGGGAGAUACCUAGGAAAUAUAACAAAUAUUCGCAUGGUAUGGCAUAACAGUACAUCAAGAUUUUCACAGUAAAUUUCAGCAAAUGUUGCAUCCGAACUCAAUCAACAUCUCCAAUUCUAUAUUUUUUUAAAAAUUAAAUCAAUCAUCAAUCUACUAAAAAAUAUGAAAAAUAGACAUGGCUUCACCUGGAGAAGGGAGGAUAAUGUGAUUGAAGAAGGAUAAGCGGUGAUUGCGCAACCACAAAAUAACUAUGACACACCAUUCUCUCCCCUUAAGAGUCUUGACCCACAGUUGCAAUUCAAAAUUUAUGGAGAAAAAAGAAGUGUAAUAAACUCGAAUUCAGUAGAAAUACAGACGGGCGAGUGACGAGGGUCAACUGUGAUCCUCUUACAAUUUGACCCCACAGCGACGUCGUAGGAUUUAGGAUAUUAAUGAGCAGGGCUAUUUCUAUCCACAUUUUUUUUUAUAUUAUUUUUUCGAGUGUUUUAUUAAAUAUUGAUGUUAAUUUAAGCAUUAUUUAUUUUAAAUUUUUAAAUUUUGAACUUGUAUUUUAUAAUUUAAUAGUAUAACUCGAAAUUUUGAAAAUAUGUAAAAAUAAUAAUAAUAAUAACAUUAAUAAAUAAUUAAAUUGGGCAGUAAACAGGACAAAAAAUUGCCCCGACCCCACCCCGUUUAAGGUGGGACGGGGCAGGAGUGCCCAACCCCGAACCCGUCCCGUUGCCAUCACUAUAUCCACAUGAAUUUUAUAUAUCCAUCUCAUUUUAAAUACAUCCCUAACACUAGAAAUUCACACAAUCCCUAAAAUCAUAUACUCUUUUAAACCAAAUGAAUGAAAUAACAACAAAGUUGAACUUAUUUAACAUUCAAUUAACAUAUAUUUUUCAGCUAACCAUGCUAACAAUGUUAAUUAGAAAUUUUAUCAUUCUUAUUUAUAAAACUCAAUUCGUCAAAGGCAAACCAUCAUAUAUCAACAUCAACAUCCAUCCAUCACCUAUAAUCAUACUCAUGUAAUUUUCUUAAUCUAUUAGGAUUUUAGUUAAACACAAAUUCUAAAAGAAUAAAAAAAAGAUUUAGGAUAAUUUAAUGAAAAUAAAAAUUAGUGGAUCAAUUUAGACUUAUGUGUUUUUAAUUAAUUUUGUUUAUAGUAAAUUUACGUAGGACUUAAAAUAUAAUAAAAAAUUAUUUUUAAAAGUGGAUUUAUAUAUAAGAAGUGUGGAUGGAAAUAGUGGUACCCGUGAGUAAUAUAUUAACCUUUCAAAUUAAAACCUUUUAAUUUUCAAUUUUAACAUAAAAUUAAAACACUAUAAUACAUGUUGUAACUUAUAUUUUAAUGGUGUGAUCAUGGGGACUAAAUUUAUUCCUAUCAAAGGGAGUGAUUUUCAUUGAAAUAGAUAACAUGAGAAACCAUAACAUGCAAAAUUAAUCACAACUAUAUUUCAUAAUAUUUUUCUAUAUUUUGACAAUUUGAUAAAGUUUCACUGUUUAUCUUCUUAUGGUCGUACUCAUAGAAAGAGAAUCGGCUGUGAGUCACAUAAGUUUUAUUUUGGAGCCAUGAAAUGUCAAAAGUACCAACGUGAAGGAAAGACAAUACGACUUUAAAACAGUUUCUCGACAUGACUUCCUAAAACUUACAUUUCUAACUCCUCUUCUUAUAUUUAUAUUAUUAUUGAAUUGUACUUGUUAUUUAUUAUGUUAAUCUAACAUUUAUCUCCACAUAAAUCACCCAUUUUUUUCCAACAUUCUAAAAUCGUGUUUGAGUGAUUUGUAUGAUAGACAAUACAAUUUUAGCUGCAUCAUUCUUCCUUCUAUUAUCUGGAGCAGCAGAGCUAGCGGAUAACUUCGUUCUAUUUUUACGCAUUUUGUGCAAGCUUCAUCAUUCAUCGAUUGAAUAUAUUCUGUUGUCUGUUGAGUAGGUAAAACAGACAGGAGGAUACUUCUUAAUCAUAAAGUCAAGCAAGGGCUUUUAAUGUGAAUAAAUCAACAAGAUUGUUUUUCCUAUGAGAAUUGACAUUCAAGAUUUAAGCAUGAAAUUAGAAGUCUUUUUUUACUGCAAGUAUUACCUAAAAUAUCAUGCUUGGCUUCAAUAAUUUGUGGCUUCAGCAUAUGUCUUGAUGUUUGACAUACUUUUGAUUCAAGCGUGAAAUUAAAUAUCUUAUUAUCAGUGCAAGAAAGAACCAUUGAAAAAUAAAUAAAUAAAUAAGAUUAAUCUUGCUUUAAUAGGGAAAUAAUUAUAUAUGAAAUCUUUUGUGAAAAAUAAAUAUGUUUAGAAAGCAAAGACUUGUUAUAUGACUAAUCAUGUUAUAUGUGUUCAAUUAUCAACGUGUCAAGCUUUCAGCAUAACCAUAAUUGAAAUGAAAAUUCUAGUUACAAGAAUUUCUAUUUUAAUGUUAAAAAAAAGGAAUUUCUAAUUGCUAGCUAUGGAUCCUUGUUUACUGUAUUAUUUUAGUCAAGCUAAUCUGGAAAAGUAGAGGUGCAUAACUUGAGUAAUUGUUCUGUUAAACCAUCAAUACUAAAAGAAACUGCAGAAAAUAUUCAAAAUGAAAAAUACAAAAAAUUUUAACAGUGUAGUGCUUUACUCCAACCUAUUUCGUGUUAAAAUUUUUGUACAAUAUCUUAGUGUGAAAAUUUAACGUGUUACUUUCAAAUUACUACACCUAAAUUAAAAUUGUGUUAUCUGUAAAUACUUCAUCACUGAGUUAUUACUAUAAAACAAACAUGUUGCCUGCUUACAUGCCUUUGUCAUGUUAAUAUCCCAAUUAGUCAUUCACCUUUGUGCUAGUUUGUGUAACACUGAUUUGAUGUGAAAAAGGAGAAUGAGGACAUUGAAAUCUUUUAAGUUAUUGGCCAUAAUUUCGAGAAAUUGAAUGGCUCCUAGUAGGCUUAAAACUAUUUGCUGUUAUGCAGGCAAAAAAUUCAUAAAUUACAUGUAUUAGAAAAAUUGAAUAUCUAUGUGUCUUUUAUCCAUGAUUAUUCAUAAGUAUCAUGGUAUAUUAUAACCAAAAUUAUUAUUUUGUCAUGCACGUGAAUUGAUACGAUUAUACUAACUACAUGGAAAUUCUAUGAUAUUAUUUUGAGCAAGCAGUUAAAAGAUUUAACCCUCAAUAAUGUAUUUAAUUAAUAUUUUAAAAAAUGUAAAGUGUAACUCCAGUUAGUGAUAGAAAUCUAUUGUUAUUCAAUUUAGAUAUGUAACUCAUAUUUUGAUGUUUGAAUAACAUAUAAUAAUACUACCAUAUAGUGUGAUAAAUUUGAUUUAAGUUUUGAAAGAUUUAAAUUUUAAUAAUUAAAAUAAUUAAUUUGGUAUUUAAUUAUUUUAAAUUUUAUAUGAGCCCUCAUAAUUUUAAGUUAUUAAAGUGAAUGCCGAGAACCAUGAAUUUGGGAUAUAUUCUAUAUCUGCUAGAAUUUAAUGUGAUUGUGUUUAAUCGAAAUAAUAUUUCUUUUACCGGUACAUUUGAUGUACUAUAUUUGAAAAUAAGUUUUAGGUCUAAUUAAAUUUGGACACAGUGUUUAGCUAAUUUGGAGUAUAAAAUUGCAAAUAUUUCAUAUCUAAGGCUGAUUUUAUUAUUAUGAAAGCAUGUUUACUUAGAUCAAUGUUGUUAAACCAUAUUUGAUACUUUAUAGUUAUGUUAAUUCUUAUUGGUUAAUGUUUUGUGAUACAUGAGUGUCAAUAUGUUCGUUCAUAUUGUCCAAGUUUGAGGAUUAAUGGUAUAUAUUUAUAUUUGGACUAAUCACGAAGCUCAUAAAGUCUUGUCAAAUAGAUUAAAUGACAAUCCAUUUAAUUAAAUCAUAUUGAUUACGCGGCACAUUAAUUUUGACCAGUAAUCAUAUACAUAGAAUUUUCAUGUCAUGUAAUAGAUGACAUCCUUUCCUACUUUAUAGUAAGUGACAUCCUGCCUAUAAGUACGAGGAAGGUAAGAAAAAAAUGCAAUUAUGAAAUGUGGUAAAAAUGUUCCACAAGUUUAAUACCUUUGAAAUGUGGGGGUGUUCAAAAUUUCAGGUAGAUACAUCUAAAAUUUUUAUUAUCCUUACUUGUAAAAUUAAUUUUUGAAAAUUGUCGUCGGACUGCAUGCGAAAUACAAGAGUUUAAUAGAUGCAUCAGCCCAAAUGUGUUCCUAAAAGUCAAAAUUAGACCGUUCAUGUAUUUAUCUUAUGUGAUAUUAAUAAUUUGAAAAUUUCUUAAAUAACUUUGCAGAUGUACAGGCGGAGAAUAAAAGCUUGCAAAUAUUGAUGGUACCAAAUUAUUUGUCCAAAAGGGACAUGAAAUAAAGUAUAGUCCAUGAUAGAUUUACAUAAAUCAUUGACGGAGAUGAGUUAAGCCCAUAAGGGAGUCAACCCGACAGUAAUCCAAUCUUGGUGAUUGGAAAUUCUAUGAAAAAUGUUCAAUGUGGUAGAAGCGAUCCAUACUGUGUGAAUUGUAGUAGAACUAUAUUAUUUGUGCUCAUUCCUAUGGUGAUAGUGCUAAUAACAAAUGUGAUAUUAGGAAAGGUUUAACUCCUAAUAAGUAUGAUUUCUACUCAUUGCGAGGUCACACGCACCUUUAGAGAACUCACUUAUAUAAGAGUUGCCAUAAGGUUGUGACUAUGGGAUUGAACUAUUCUUUAAAGACUCUUAUUAUAAUCAUGAUUAGAGCGCUACCCGAUAUGAAUUAGAGCCUAAAUCGAUACCAUGUGUAGAACAAUUGAAAUUUGACUAAAGGGACCUAAUUCAAAGUUUAGUCCAUUAUGACUCCAUCAAAUGGAAAUUGUUAUCAUUAAGUGAGGUUCAAGCCCAAAUGGCACCCACACAUAUUACACAGUAUAACGUUGCCACUAUAUAUUACAUAUAUUUAUUUAUUUAUUUUGAAAAUUUAAAACUUGUGGGGGAUUGUUGUAACUUAAGAAUUAAAGUUUUAAUCUUUCAAAUUAAAAUAAUUUAAUUUUCAAUUUUAACAUAAAAUUAAAACACCAUAAUACAUGUUGUAACUUGUAUUUUAAUGGUAUGGUUGUGGAUGUUAAAUUUACCUACAUAAAAGGGAGUGAUUUUCAUUGAGAUAGAUAACAUGAGAAACCGUAACUUAAAAAAAUAACCACAUCUUUAUUUCAUAAUAUUUUCUUAUAUUUUGGCAAUCCGAUAAAAGCUUGUUCUUUAUCUCUCUAUGAUCGUGCCCAUAUAUAGAGAACUGACUGUAAGUCAUGUGUGUUUUAUCUUGAAACCGCGUAGUACAGAAAGUACUCGCACGAAGGGGAAGCAACACGACUUUAGAACAGCCUCAUUGACGUGACUCCCUAAAACUUGCAUUUCUAACUCUUCUAUUAUGUUUAUAUUACUAUCGAAUUGUAUUUGUUGUUUAUUAUGUUAAUCAAAAAAUUAUCUACACAUAAAUUACCCAUUUUUUCCAACAACUAUCACAUCUAAUAAGUCUCAUGGGGCCCCAUUCCAAUAAUUAAACAAAAAAUUUAAAUCAAUCAUGCUACAAUGCUAGAUAAGUUGAUAGAAAGGCUGGCAUAUUAUCAACUGACAUUUCAUCAUUGAACAGUGUAAAACAUUGUCAAUUUUUUCAUACAAUCGUCUAUGUGGAGGGUUUCCCCUACCAAUACUUUUGACAAAAGUAAUGCUAUUUGUAAUCAUUUAUUAUCGCAGUCGUCCUAUAUGACAUAUACAAAACAGUUAGUUAUUAAAUGUAUUAAUGUGAUAGUUAUUAACUCAUACAUCAAAUAACUAUCCGCCAUGUGUAUACUACGAAGGGUUAUUGUCGUAAUGAGUGAUUGCAAAUAACCUUUUUUUUUCUACAAAUAGUUUUGACAAAAAAACAUAACCUUUAAUUUAAGUUAAUCUAACAUUAUAGAUAAUUUAAUUAAAAUCCUUUGAAAUUCAAAAAUGGAAAACUCCACACAAAAUCUAACGUUAUAGAUAAUUUAAUUAAAAUCCUUUGAAAUUCAAAAAUGGAAAACUCCACACAACACACCCCCACUCCCCAUAAUCUUUGUUUCCUUUGUCCUCUCCCUACCCCUCUCUCACUCUCUCUCGAAUUGAUACAAGAAGAAUAUAUAGAUACAAGAAACGGGUCUUGAAAUGGCAAUCCAUUUACAUUCCACUAUUGCAUUAAAACUCACUCGAAACCCAUAUUACCCUUUGUUUAUUAUAUUCAACAAUCUUUCAUUCCAGAUUUGGAACAUAAAUGAUAUAGCCAACACAAAUUUUUAGGGUAAAUUAGAGCAUCACAUCAAUACCUGCGGUUGAUUGAAAUUCUGGGAUAAAUUAGAGUUAUAGAUAUGAAUUCAUAUAUUCCGGUUAAAAAUUCUUUAAUUAAUUUAGAUUUGACGUUGCAUGAAUUCAAUCCUGGAGGCUGGAAGUUUCAAGCACGAAGAUCGAAGCAAAUGGUCUACUGGAGAAAUAGCUAUCUUGAAAUACUCUCAACUUCAAAAUGUGGAAUAAUCCAUAAAAAUUAGGACUAAAAUACUCAUAAAUUUAUUAAAAGAAAAUUUUAAUUCAUGAAACAUAAUCUUAGUCAAUAUCAAAGUAUUCUUUAUUUAAAACCCUCCAACCUCUUCCUCACCAUCCUUGUAAAAUUCCCCACAAAACGAUGAAGUUAAAGAUUGAGUGUCCCAGGACGUGUAGUAAUUUGUAUUCGACUAGUAUCGUGGGCGGAGCUACUAUAUAGAUGCCCGCACUGGACUUUUGGGCCCAAAAUAAUUUAAUUUUUUUUUAACCCAAUGACUUUUGGGCCCAAAAUAAUUUUUUUUUAACCCAAUUCUCUAUUUAGCCCAGAGAGAGAAGCCCAAUUGUGCAAUGCCAUGACCCGUUUUAGAUCCAUUCAUAUCAGAAUUCAAUUGAAUCAAUUGUUGACCCAAACCCAUUCAUUCAUUUCAAAAUUUCAACCCUUCGUGACUUUGUCUGUGAUGACUUCGCACUUCGCCACCCACUUCCCUCUCCACCCGUGACAAUGCCCGUUAUUCCCUUCCCUCUCUGUAAAUCGUCGUCUCCGACAGUCGUUUGACAGUCCAUUAUUGUACAUCUCCUACUCUAGGCUCUCAUCUUGACAUCUCACAUCUCUGACUCCGACUCUACAUACUCAACUCCGCCAAGGCGCCAAGUGCCAAUGCCAACCGGGCGAGCCAGCAAAAGAAGAAGCUAGAUUCCAGAAAGCAGAAGGUGAAGCCCCAAAUUUUUUUCCCGUAUUUUUUUUGUUAUUUUUAUUUGUGUAAAUUGUAAUAAUAUUUUUUUUUCUUUUUGUUUUUAGUAUACGAAAUUAGCACUUUGUUCUUCAAUUGCUCGAAGCAGCACAAACUUCCAGUGGAUCACCAGUUCAUUGUUGCCUCUGGGCUCUAGCUCUCUGGGAAUCUGUGAUUGUAAGUUCAAGUUGCCUAGAAUUUGGAAAUAGUAAAUAUUGCAUUGUGAAUUGAUUAUGUGAAAUUGUGAAUUGGAGUAUUGAACCGUGAAUUGAUUAAGUGAAAUUGUAAAUUGCACUAGACAAAUGGUAUAUAUAGGUGUUGGCGUAUUACACUGUGAAUUGAUUAUGUGAAAUUUGUGAAAUGCACUGUGAAUUGAUUAUGUGAAAUUGUGAAUUGCACUGAAUUUUGUGAGUUGCUUCCAGUAUUUGUGAUUCAUUUGACAUUCUAAAUUACUCCCACUCCUAGUAAUAAUUGGGUGAUCAGUGGAUGAAUGAUAGCACAAUUGUUUAUGUGAAGAAAGAUAUAUUUUUGAAACUCGAUAAUGAAGUUAUUGUACAACGAUAUCGAAGUAUGAAAACUCGCAAGGAACAAGUGUAAUAUAUAAAUUAUGUCGUUUUUAGUAUUGUUGUAUUAUUGUUUUAUUUUUUUAUUAUCAUUAAAUCUAUGGUCAAAACCUCGACAUUCGUCGUCGAAAAAUUUUUGUCCGCACUGAACUAAAAUCCUGGCUCCGCCCCUGACUAGUAUUGUACGCCAAUACGGGCCAAGAAAUCGAAGCAGCUGCUUACAGAUUCAAACUUUAUGGAUAGAAAAAUAGUUAUGGGAUAGUAUGUUGAGAUUGAAUAAUGGAACAAGAGUAUAAGCAAAAGGGUCAUAUUGGAAGUGGAAGUGUGUUGUGGGGUUUUCCAUUUGUACAUUUCAAUUUUAAUUAAAUCAUCUAUAGCCUUAAAUUAAAUUAAGGGUCAAGAAUUUUUUGUCAAAAAUAUUGGUAGGAAAAACACUCCCCAUCAUCUAUUAUCACACACACUUCCAUCACUGUAUCUAUCAAAAUCCUUACAAAGUGGCAUAAUCCUAUUUCAAAUACGAAAGUUGGGGUAUUUAAAUGUCCGCAAGUGAGAUUAUAAUUUGGAUAAUUUUGAUUAAUAUCCAUUUUAAUCGAUAUAUUGUUUCAACUCUACUUUUAUAAAACAAUAUAUAAUUAGAAAUUACUCAAGUAUACAUAUUUAAAUAUCAUUUCAAUAUUUCCGCAUGCUAAUGUUGGAAUUAAAGAGUACAUCUUUACAAAGCAAAUGAUAAAAAGAAAAACAAAAUUCUUGGGUGAAUACUAGAAGAGACUUUUAUUCUGAUUUCCAGCAGCAAGUAGAUUGAAAAAUGAAUCUUCCUCAUCUGUGUCAUUCUUCUUUAUUCUUUUUAUAUGGGAACCCGAUUGGUCAGACGUUGAUGGUACUGGCUGUUUGAUGGAUACAAACGCCACCUUCUUCGAUGAACUUUUAAAUUUUACAGGACAUGAACUCGGAGAUGCAGUCGAACAUGUGGAUAAUGCAGCUUCUGAACAAUAAAAUUUGUCAUGGGAAUCACUUUCAACCUGCAUUUCAUGGUUAAUCUUGCCAACUUUCACCAGUGAUAAAAUAUUACUGUCUAUUUCAACAGAUGUAGAGGGUUCUUCCGAAGGAACCGUAUUCACACUUGACGGGGCUAGAGUACCGGAGGCAACUUUGCCCUGCUUUUCGUCACCUUUUACAGAACUAGUAUUCAUUUCUUGAGCAUUAGUCGGGCCUUCUUCCAAAAUAUGCGCAGCAUCCAUUCUAACUGGAUUAUCAAGUAUGCAAGGCAAGGCAAGGCAAGGAAUAAACAUAUUUAGCAAGAGUAUUCAAACAAGUGCAGACAGAUGAAUAAUGAGAAAGUUCAUCAACUACACAAAAAUAGAAUGAAGGUGGAAUAAAGUUAUAGCAUGAAAAAUUCCUAUAUUUAGCAGUAAAACCAAGGAAUGAAAAAACUGAAGAAAGCCACACACUGAUUGGAAGAUGAGAGAGGCAAUAUAAAGUCCAUUAGCUGUGUCCCAGAAGACAAAAUACAGUAAAUGAACAGUAGAAUAAUGGACAGCAAACUUUAACUGUAAACAGAUAUUAUAAGGAGCAAAUACAUGUCAACAGCUCAGAACUUCAGCAAAACUAUUUCUGGAAAUUUUCUACCAUAAAUAUCUUUCUAAUUACUGUACACUUGACUAGCGGGACUGGAAGGACAUGUAUCAGAAGCCAAGUCUACCUUCUUGCACUUUCAGGAUACUAUUUGACAAAGAUAUAAUUACUUCAGGAAGAUGUUAAAGGAAUUAUAAUGGAAGAGUUACAAGGAUGAUAAGAAUGGAAAUGGUGCUCCACCCAGAAUGGUACAAUAGCCAAGCAAGAGUUACACUACAAAAAAUGAUAAGAACUAAAAACUCCAGAGCAUCCUGGAUUUCCAUAGCCGAUCACGUGCUCAAAGCUUGGAUAUGGUAGUCAUUACAUACCAGCACUAAAUUUUGAUUUAUUCCUCGAGUUUUUAAAACAUUUAGCACGAGCUCAGUACUAAUACUUUACUAAUAAGUAUCUACACAAUUUAGCAUUUUCCCCUUUCUUAAUACUAUUGUGUAUUGUCUAGUCCACCUCAUGAAACAUAGCAGUAGAUGCUGAAAAAAAUUCUAUCAAACGACAAAAAUUUAUUUAAGUCCACUGUUACCUCCAAGUAAAACCUCAAUGUUUUUAUAUAUUAUUUUGGAGGACCUUAAAAAGACAUCUUCUCCGACAUCCUUUUCCUGGCUUUUACUUUCACUUGUAUUCAUCCUCUCAACUAAGACAUACUUGUCUGUCUGCCAAACACAUUCUAGAAACGUAGUAGCUUGCUUUUUGGUUGGAUAAUAUUCUCUGAAAACCUGCAAAUUAAGGGGAUAGAAAAGAGGAAUUUUAUGCCAUGAACUGCAGAACAGGGUGGAAAAAUGAUAAAUGCAGAAAAGAAAAAAGCAUAAAAAAAUAAAUAAAUUGUGCAGACAAAUGAAGAAUAAUUUAUUUGAGUACUUAAAAUACCUCGAAUCCUUUUUGAUUUAGUUUUAUAGUUUGUUCCUUUUGAGAAAUAGAAGAGACAGUAUUGAAUACAUAAACAGCAUCCAGAAGAACCUGCCAAAAUAUAUAUAUAUAUAUAAAUUAACUGAAAAGACAACACCACUAACUUGAAAAUUUUAUUAAAACUUUCAAGGUCCGAAUACUUCUUACGUAAUAACCAAGAACUCGGGGUUCAAAAGAAAUCCAGAAUCCCACAAUGCUAGUGCCCUUUCUUUUCAAACACCAGAUACCUUAAGCCUUGCACCUCUGCCCCCAAAUAAAAGAGGAAAAAGAAUGUAUACGUAGCAUAUGACUAUAAUGCAGGUUCUGUGCGUACAAUGCAUACGUGGCCUAUGAUUAUCACAUACCCACGCAUAUCUUAUUGCACAAUAUUGCCUAUUUCAGCCAAUAAAUCCAAAUAUCGUCAUACAAACUCAUAAUUCCGAGGGUCCUUUUUAGACAAUACGCAAAUUUUCCAAUUAAAAUAGUAAGAUAUAGUCUUAUAAAAUGAGAAAUACUUACUUGUUGAACCAAUGCUCGAAGGCGUGCAAGCACAGCAAAGAUCGUUACGGAAAAUCCCAUGAAAAAUGAUCGAGCAAGCAGCUUGGAUAUCUCCCUUAAGAUCGUUAAGAGAAAAAGUGGAUGAUGAAUAGCUGAAUUCAACUUCCCACAGGCACAUAAAGAAACAUCUAGAGUAAUAACUACAUCAAACAACAUGUUUUCUGGAUAUGCUUUCUUUGAGACAAAAAGCAUAAACAAAAAUCAAAGAAAUCAAGCAAAUAAGCAGAAAUUUUAUAAUACAACUUUUAUCACAAAUGAUUGAACUAGAGAAGUUAAUACAAAAAAGUUCACAUACUGGCCAAUAGAAACAAGAGGACAGAGAAACUUGACAAAUGGACAGAGGUCUAGGUAGGAAAACCCUCGCAGUUCAUUAAACGGGGGAAGAGAAUAAAAUAUUGUGUAAAGACUAGCGGACCUAGAGUGUAGUAUAAAAAAAAAUAUGACAGAUUCUAUGGAUCAGAAAUGUAUGGUUGGCAAAAGUUUUAGAGAAAAUAUAUAACGAAAAAGUUGGUUAGCCAAUAAACACGCAUAGAAAUUACAACACAAAGCAUUCUGUCAAAUGAUGGAGUUUCGUGUUGUAGCAAACAUUAAAGAAAUGCUCUAGCUGACAAUGUGCGAAACGUUAUAUCUAAUUUCAAGGAUGUAAGUAGCUUAGUUUCUGAUAAUUCCAGAGACAUAUACCAUUAUAACAAAUCAUGUAAAACCUAUAAAAUAUUCUGACAAUGAUUCUUGCAUGUUGACAGAAAACUUCAAACAUUAUGAACAUAGUUAAAACUUGCACUGAAAGGAUACAUAGCAGCCUCCACCACGGGCUCCACCAUCUGUGAUGGAACAAGAAAAAAUAUUAGAAGAUAAUUCAUACAUUGGCUUAAUCAUGUGAUGGAAAAACCAUAAAUUAAAUAAAAGAGACAAUCAACCUGCGACAAUAGGCGUGCAACUCCUAAAAGCCGAUCCAGAACAUUAUACUUGCCACUAUCGCACCUUGUCCUCUUCAAACUAAAGCCACAACAUAAAUAAUAAAAUAAAUAAGACGAACUAUCCUUUGGUAUUAUACUUUGCUAAUGCUGCGCAAAUUAUAGUUCAUAUUUAAUCACAUAAAACCCGAAACUGAAAGAAAAUAUUUUUAGUUUAUUAAAAUAUUUUUAGUUUAUUACAACUUUAGUAUGGAUCUUCUGUAAAUUAACAAAGUAUAAGGAAGUAAGAACAACACCUCAUGCCAUACUUGCCCAUAUAUAUAAGUAGAAAACAUAGAUUGCAAGAAACGUGCAAUGAGGAAUGGUGGGGUACACAAGAAAAGUAAUCAACCUGUCCUACAAUCAUGUCUUCACUGGAGCGCAAUUUAAUAAUUUAUACUUCUCUGGACAGCCAAACAAAACUAGGAUUUCAAACUAUUGAUAUGUGCAACGUGUGAGCAUAAAAAUACAUGACAAAGUUAUAUCUGACAUAAUCCAAGCAUAUUCCAAAUGACACAGGCUAUUACUCAGAUUUUGUUCCAUCAGUGAAUUCCACAAUCCACAGCUGCUGCUCUCAGUAGAGUGCUCCGCAGCCACGGUUAAGUGUAAGACUAUAAUAUACAAAAUUCCAAUGAGAAGGCAAAAAUACAUAAAGUACUACCUUUCCAAAAGCUGCACCUUUUGCUUAGGUCUAUUCCCAAUUAUUAUGAGAAAACAGGCACUCAAAAUCUCCUCCAUAUUUGCUGAUUUCAAAAGUCUCAAAUCCAUGCUAACCUAUCCAUUCAAAAAUAACAAAAGGCGCGUCAAUCGGCAAUCACACAAAACUUAAACACGCAACAUGAACACAAAUACUUAUUAGGCAUGAGAAGUAAGACACUGGCAACCUUUAGAAGAUAUUGAAAGUAAGAACAUCUUCGAUGCUGGUUCUUGUUUUUGUAUAUAAUUCUUCCAAGAAUCCCACAUUCUGUUUGGAGCUGAACAAUAUACGAUUUAACUCUCUGCUCAGUUAUUUCAAUCUCUGAACCCAUUUGUAUUCAACUGAAAUAGAAAAUCUCAUAUUCAAAACCACAAACGGUGAAAGCAAAAAAUCAACUAAAAUAUCCACAAACCCAUUAAAAUUAUCAUCAAUUCUUGUCAAAUUCAAUUGGGUUUUCAGUGGCGGACCUAGAACAAUAAGUCAGGGGCUGAAAUUUUUAUAAGUUAAUGUAUGAGCAAAAUAUAUACAUCAUGGAAAAGUCAAAAUAUAACAUAAUCCACUAAGGUUGCGGCCAAAAUGGGCCAAAUAGGAUGAAAAAUGAAGGGCAGAAGGUUGGAUGGAGACUUGAAGUUUGCACUUUGCAGUUUUUUGGGAAAUCAGCAAAUUCCAAAUACGAUAAAAAGAAAAUGCCUUAAAACUUUGCUUGAAUAAUCAGGCUACGUACAUUAAGGCUAGUUAAAAGGAAAAGAUUGACAUGGAACCUAAAUAAGUAAAGUGAACAACGAGGGAAAUGCCAAUACACAAAUUCUCAACCACCAUCAGGCAUCCAAAAUUGUAAAUCUUAUUCCCGUCACAAUUCCAAAGUCAUUAACCAAUCCUCCUUAAACUUCAAACAAAAAAUAGUUUAUGGUUGAUCAAAUUCAACCUCUUAGUUAAUCCUCCUGUUCUCUCCUUAACAUCACAAAUUCAUCAAAACUCAAGAGUACAAUCAUGAGAAAAUGUAUCUUUGGUAUCUUCGACAUUUUCGAAAGAACCACUUGUACAUUCUUUUGCUAAAUUUCAUGAAGAUAUGCAUAAAGUCAGGCAAAGAAACCUUACAACUAAAUAUAAGUUUUAACUCUAUAGCUUGGAGAAGAAUAGCACAGGGUCACCACUAUACAAGUUUUGCUAUUCUAUACAACAGCACCAAAACCAGUCAAUGAAGACAAGGUCCCAGACACCCAUAUUCUUUUGCUACAUCAGAAUCAAAGCAAUAUAAAAGACGCGAAAUUCAUGAAAUUUCUGGUUCAAAAAUUAAUCGGCAACGGAGGACUAACUAUGAGAUAUAAAUCAAGUUUAAAAAUAAAAGCACUUUAAUCACCAAAUUAUAGUAAUGGUGAAAGAAAACAUUAUAAACAUGCUACUCUUAACACUUCAGAUAGACAUAAAGCACACAGUUUAGUCUUUCAGGUAGUUCCACGCCAGAACAGAUAAUGGAAAUAAAUAAAAUACCUACCAAAUCAAAUCAACAAUAAAGUAAAGUAUAAUCCAUCAGAUUACAGCUACUCUUUCUCUUUCACGCGCGGACAUGAACACACACUGAAAGACACUGAUUUGCGUCUUUUGCAGUCUAUAUAUGUUACCUGUUUGAUAUUCUUUGAAUAAAAAGCAACAAAUUAUAUUAUGAAUCUUUAGUUCCCGCGCUUAUUAAAAAUUUGUACUUGAAACACCUUGAAUCAAAUCACCCCUAUUUCUUGAUUUCUUUCUUUUCUACCGUUUAUGGUUAGUAGUCGGGUUCUUUUGUUUAGUUUCAGCAAAAAGGGAAAAAUUAGGGCAAAUUUGAAGAUGAAAAACAGAAACUAAGAAUUUCAUGAUUAUAUCUGGCAUUUGUCAUUCAUAGUUUCAUACCCUACAAAUUAUUUUCAAUUAGCCGAGAAAGAAGGGGAUCCAAAGUAUUCCAUGGGCUUGUAUUGAUUACUGAACAGUAAAAAGAGCUCCGUCCCUUGUAGAGGGUUUGAGCACUCACUAGAAAAAGAAUUUUCAGCCAGCGCCGUCAGUUUGCAAUUAUGAGCGGCGCCGGCAAAGUUUUUGACAGGAUACAAGUACAACUGUGAAUUUUCGGCCAUCGCCGUCAGUUUGCAAUUAUGAGCACCCACAAAUGCUUGUUGUACCAAGUGGGGCUGCAAAGUUCCUUUACAAAGUGACGUGUACGGCUCAAAUGGAAGGAAAUGGACGGUUCGGAUUUUAUGUUGACAAUAAUGGAAAGUGGCGCCAAAUUGGUUUUCUUGCAACUUGGUAUUAAAAAAAACACAAUUUUUAAAAUGGUGGUAAUUUCUCUCUCUCUCCCCAUCGUGCUCUGUCUCCCCAGCUCUCGCUAAUCAACUCACAAGAUUUUAACAAAAUUAGAGAGUGGAGGGUUGCGAGUGUAGAAAACAACAAAUCAAAAAUAAAUUAAUCGAAGGACCAAGUGAAGAAUGGAGAGGAAGAAGGAAUCGAUCGAUAGCAGCCAACAAACUUAGGGCAAACAUAUACAAGAUACAAAGGUUUAUAUAGUACAAAACUAAGGAAAUGUAAAAGUAUAAACUACCCUUAACCCAAUCUACUUAUUACAUUAACAGCGAGUUGGAGCGAAAUUAGGGGUUUCGACAUUGCAGGAAGGUGUAGCUGAGCUUAGCUUGAAAUCGGUCUGAGAAUCCAGAAGGAAGGUGGUGGCCAAGUGACGAAUUGGGUAUGAAUUUAUGGAUUAUGACCGAAUCCGUCUGUGAUGAAGUGAUAAUGCAAUGUUUUCCAUUGUGUACUAGAAACUCAGUUCGUCCAUUUGAGUUUUCCAACCAAAAGGGGAAAGAGGACAAGAAUAAAAUUGAGGAGAAAGGAAAAUACUUUAGACUCCUCAUCCCUAAAAACUUGAAAAAAUGCUAAAAGUUUUUCCCUCGAUCAGUCGGUCAUAAGUCAGCUACUACUUGCUCCUUCCUUCAAAAAUUCUGCUUUUUCUUAUUUUUUUCCAAAUGAUUCAAAAAAUAGCUGAAACAUUUACCCUUAUGUGCACUUGUAUUUCCACUUUGAACUUAUAUACUGAUUCCAUUUAACUGAGUGAAUUUCCUGUUUUCAUGAUUUCCACUUAGGAGAGUAAUGUUAGCUGGGUAUCUGCAGCAAAAAAUAAAAUAAAAUAAAAUAUACAUUAGCCAAAGGAAAAAAUAUCGAUUCAUUUAGGAAAAAACAAUAGUGUAGUUGUUAAUAUUCAAGAAUUCAUUGCAUUGAUUCGUUGAAGGAAUUAUUUACCGGAAACUUUCGUGGUUUUGCAUUAUAAAUUUGUUGCCACAUGGGAUUCUCAGUGUUAGAUACGAAAAAUGUUGUAAUGAUGUGCUGGGAAUAGCCAGUACUUAGAUGACAUUCCAAUAUUGUUGACCUGUUAUUUAUGUACUUAAAUAAACCACUCAAAGUUGGGCUUUUUGAACACGUAAAUAUUGGUUGAGUGUCAAUGUUUUGCAGGGUCAGCCAAAUAUGGAAGAAGUUUUGUCCGUUGAUUCCGAAAAUGAGAAUGUGGAGGACAAUAUGAAUGUCCUGGAAGAUGAGAUGGUAGUAGGAGAUGGUUUGACUGUCCUUGAGGUUGGUGCUGCAAUGCGAUAACAGUAGUGCUGGAAUGCGAUAUCAGGACUAUUGGUACAAUUAGGAACUAUGCUGGAAUUGCAAAAUUUUUGGUUGUAGUUGUUAGUUGGACUAUGUGAGAUAUGUGAAUAUCAUUAAAUCUUGUUUUGUUUAAUUGAUGAAGAGCAAAUGGUUCCAAAUGUGGUAGCUUAGUUCGAAAUAUGUGGUGCAUUGCAAUUGUAGUCUCUCUCCUGUUGUGGUGCUUUUUUAGUUAGAACAUCAAGUUUUAGCUCAUUUGUUCAGGUUCAGCAUAAAAACAUAAAUUUCACUCAUGAAUGAGAGUUGUCAUGAAUGCAUAUUGUUUUACUGAGUUUUACUGAGAUCAAGCUAACUUACUGUAUGCACAUAGAAAGUUAGCAUAUCAUUUAAAAUAUACCAAAACUAGUGGUCUUGUUUUGCACACAUAUGUUGCUGAUUGGUCUAACACGUUGAAAUGCUAUUAUGUAAUGCCGAAACAGAGUUGUUACUUGAAACGCAAAGGAUUAAAUUCUUUAGGCUUCAAGGAAUAAAAAUAAAACACAUACAACAGUUAUAAAAAUGGUGCAGAGCUAUUCUUGUAAACAUCUGCCAAAUACUUAGUUGCUCUCAAAACACCAUUUCUCGAUAGCAAAUACAAAACGAACACAACGCAAUUACAACUCGUUCGACAACAAACUACUAAACACGCUGUGUUGGGUCCUUUCCUUUCCCAAACUCCUCUGCACAUCCUUUCUCAUUGUGAAAUGUCACGUUCACUGAAAUCUCGACGUCUCAUUCGUCUCGUAUAUCUGUAUAUUAAGAUAGACGAUAUCUAAAGAGUUCCACUAAUUAGUAGGGAAGAAAUAUAUGUUAGUACUAGGCAACAUUCAUCUCAAGCCUUAAAACAUAUUAAAGUAGGGGAUUCCCUCUAAGGAAAUCAACCAAACAACUUAUGGGUCUAUUCAGUUAAAAACACUCAAGGAAAACAUAAAGGGAAAUCACCUAUAUAUCUGACCGGCCACAAGUUCUUGACCCUUCUAUAUUUGCUCAUCACCUGGGAAAACAAACAAAAGUAAUAAAUUGAACCACAUAUAUUCAAAGAGAAACAAAAUGAUCAAAAAACUUUAAAGAACCAACAAUUUCAAUUCAAUUGGAUAAAUUAACAAAUCUAAGAAAAAGGGUACCUGGCAGAAAGUGUCUUCAGUUGUGAGGGGAGAGAGACGGCCUACAAAGAGAGUGCAGUAAGAGUCACCAAUAACGUUCGGGUCGCCAAAGGGAUUGCCUACAAAUGAAAAUAAUGAGAAGAAUAAUGAAAACAUUCAGACAGAAGAAUUUGUCCCUAAAUGGGGUAAUACAAUUGGGAGAAAAUUACAGAGGAUGCAAACUAACUAAAGAAGAUGCAAACUGAAUCCAUUCCACCAUUAGCCACCAACCGAAAAUAACCCAUAUUUCCCCAACAUUUAGAACCCUUCUCACCUCGUUAUUUAAAAAAGGAAAAGAAAAUUAAAAAAAUUACCAAUAAAAACUACAAAAUUGAGCUGAUUUGGAGAAAAAGUUGAAGUUGUCGAGCUUAGAUCUCUCUCUCUCUCUCUCUCUCUCUCUCAAAACUAAUAUACAUACAGGAGGUUGUAUGUAUAGCUCUGGUAGGUAUUUUUAUUUUAUCUUUCCACUUUUGAUUUGGAGUGGGACGACGUCGGGAGCUUCAACCAAAAAUUCACACCGUACCCGAUUUCGGAGAUGGAGAAGAUGGACUAGAGGCCGGAUUCGUCGAUGAAACAAGCAAUGUGAAAAUUGAUCACAAAUGGGAGGAAAUGGUGUUUGAAUUUCUGAAUGGGUCAGUAAGAUAACUGCCAAAAUCUCAGCCGUCCAGUGCUCUUAAAUCUGAACCGUACACGUCACUUUGUAACCCUCCUUUGUCAAGCUACUUUGUACAUGUAGCAUUCAAUGGGGAAUUUGGAGAAAAACGAUGGACUGAAAUUAAUUGGGGGCCGGUGACGCAUUGGUCUUUUGAAUUUUGGGCUGGGAUAUGUGGGCCAAUUAAACCCAAAUGUGAAUUUACGGAAUUGCCCCCUCCUAAAUUUCCUAACCCAGCAAGCCGGCAAAGGCUCCGCAUAGAAAAGUAAAUCUCAUUUUUAUCAUUUUCUUUCACUUACAUUUUUAAAAUCAUACAAACAUGGCCUUCUCCUCCGCUGCAUCUUACAGAACCCCAGCCCACCUCCCUUCCUCCGCCGAUUCGCGUUCCCUUUUGCCUCUCAAAGUGGAUAAAAUUACACCUCCUUGCGAUUUGAAUCCAAAACCUCAUUCUAUUUUCUGUACCCUGGCCAAACAUCAGCCAAUGGCAAUGACGGAACAGCAACUGGAACCGGUGGUUAUGCAGAGGCCGGACUCAUUUGGCCGGUUCGGUAUGUUUGGUGGGAAAUAUGUUCCUGAAACCCUAAUGUACGCCCUCACGGAGCUUGAGACCGCAUUCAAAUCCCUCGCUUCUGACCUGGAAUUUCAGGUCUUGCUUAAAGAAUUUUUUUUUUUUUUUUUUUGCCGAAUGAAUAUUUAAUUCAUAUUUUAUUUUUCUGUAUAUCAAUUCGUGAUUUAUUAAUUGAUGAGGAUUCUCGAUUGCUAACUUUUUUUAUUAAUUUUAAUUGGAAAAAUCAAUUUUGUGUUGAGAACACGUUGUGUCAAGCGCCUUGUAGGGUGAUUUGAUUAAACUGUUUGCUGGUUUAGUAGUUUUACUGCCUUUUCUUCUCUCUAUUAAAAUUUUUGCGGAAAAUGCUCGUAACCCUCACAUUAGUAUAUUAUGUCAAUGAGCUUAUAGUAACUUCUAUUCUGAAUUGUAUUUUGAAAAGUGGAUUUUACUUAAUUUUGAUAUGUUGUCUAGACAAAUGAUGGAAUAUCAGAAAAUUAAACAGAUAGGUAUUUUUUUCAACGUGAUCAAGCUAUGAAUUCUAUACUUCAGGAGCUUAAUACUAAAAAUUAUUCAAACAUAGCCAAUAUUUUUGAAGAAACUGUAACAGUAACGUUAUCUUUUAAUUCAUAGAACGCCAUAUGUCAUCGAAAUGUAUGACUGAUUGUACUAAUUGCAGAAAGAGCUAGAUGUGACAUUGAGAGACUACGUUGGCAGAGAGACUCCUCUUUACUUUGCAGAACGACUUACACAGCAUUAUAAACAUCCUGAUGGAAAAGGACCACAUAUUUACCUCAAAAGAGAAGAUCUUAACCACACUGGGGCCCAUAAAAUCAACAAUGCUGUUGCCCAAGCAUUGCUAGCCAAGCGCCUGGGCAAGAAACGUAUCAUUGCUGAAACAGGGGCUGGUCAGCAUGGUGUUGCUACCGCUACUGUUUGUGCUCGCUUUGGAUUACUGUGCGUAAUCUAUAUGGGUGCUCAGGACAUGGAGAGGCAAGCGCUCAAUGUCUUCAGAAUGCGACUCCUUGGAGCUGAGGUCUGUUUAUCAAUUAGCUUUUUACUAGUUUGUUUUAAUUAUCCAAUUUAAUUGGAAUUGGAAUAUCCACACAUUAAUCUUCUCUUAGCACACACGAGUGGUCUGGUAAAUCUUUUGUCUAAUGCCUUUGUCAUACUUGGACAACUUUGUGCAGAUCAGUGAUUGCAAAGCAAUUUUAUCAUUGUUGGUUUGGAGUACUUUCUCGCAUUCAGCUCAUUAGGAUGCUGUAUGCAGCAAGAGUCCUGCAUGCAUUCUAUUUUUGAAUUGUUUUUGUUGCUUGCAUAAAGUAGUCAUUCUGGAUAUAGGUUUCGUUUCAAGUUCAGAGACUAGCAGCAGCGUCUUAAAAAGCGUCGCCAGGCCCCUCUUGCUUAUGGUAUUAUGUCAAGGCAUAAGCCUCUUGACAGCUGGAAUUUUUCACUUUUGGGGCUGUAUACUUACCAGCUUCAAGACCUCAGUUGCUUGGAGAAGAGAAUUGUUUAGAAGAAUUAUUUCUGUGUAUUACUUAACUGAACAUUUUAUGUACAAUGCUUGAAUGGCUCAGGAAUACAAUUUAUAAUGCUGCUUUUGACUUAAAAUUUCUGAACUCACAUGCAGGUAAGACCAGUUCAUUCCGGGACUGCAACGCUGAAGGAUGCUACAUCUGAAGCUAUACGAGACUGGGUAACCAAUGUUGAAUCAACUCAUUACAUCCUGGGAUCUGUUGCAGGGCCCCAUCCAUAUCCUAUGAUGGUAAGAGAGUUUCACGCAGUGAUUGGUAAAGAAACAAGGAAACAAGCAUUGGAAAAAUGGGGUGGCAAACCUGAUGUGCUUGUUGCAUGUGUUGGUGGUGGUUCAAAUGCUAUGGGGCUCUUUCAUGAAUUUGUUGAUGACAAAGAUGUUAGGCUUAUUGGUGUGGAGGCUGCUGGUUUCGGUCUAGACAGCGGCAAGCAUGCCGCCACGUUGUCUAAAGGAGAAGUUGGAGUCUUGCAUGGAGCUAUGAGCUACUUGUUGCAGGAUGACGAUGGGCAAAUAAUCGAGCCACAUUCUAUUAGUGCUGGGUGAAAUAGUGCUCAUUUCUACAAAUAAUUUAAGUUUAUAUAUUUCUGCUGACUAAUGUUUCUUUAUCACUUCCAUAGCCUGGAUUAUCCUGGAGUUGGACCAGAGCACAGCUUUCUGAAAGAUAUUGGACGUGCUGAGUAUUAUAGCAUCACCGAUGAGGAGGCUUUAGAAGGUAAGAAGAGAUCUUUAAUAUUCCAUUUUGUCCGUGCUUUAUCUUUUUUAACAUAGUCACACUGGAUUAAUAAACUACCAUUGGUCCUUUAUUGCUUUCCCUCCCCUUUAUAUCCAGUUCUUUUAUGUCGUUCUUGAUGGAGUACAGGUCCUCUUUUUUUUCAUGUUUUUCCCUCCCCUCUAUGUCCAAUUCUUUCAUGUCAUUCUUGAUGGAGUACAAGUCCUUUGAUUGCUUUCCCUCCCCUCUAUAUGCAAUUAUUUUAUGUCUUUCUGGAUGGAGUAACAGUAAAGGGGUAUGUAUUGUUUGGCUCCCUGCCCUUCACCUUCCAUUUUUCCACUGAUCUGUUUGUAUGAUGGAUUAAUUAUACAGUAUUGGACAUUAUUAACGAAAAUGAAGAAUCUUAGAUUUUGUUUGUAAUUGAGGUCCAUUUCUGUAGAAAACUACCAUCCUACAUACACUAAAUGUGUUCAUCUGCCUGUGUAAAUGUAAUGCAGCUUUUGAGAGAUUAUCUAGGCUCGAGGGCAUCAUCCCUGCACUUGAGACAUCUCAUGCUCUGGCUUAUCUAGAGAAGUUGUGCCCGAUGCUUCCCGAUGGAACUAAAGUUGUCCUCAACUGCAGUGGAAGAGGAGAUAAGGAUGUUCAGACAGCCAUUAAACAUUUAAAGCUUUAAUCAGUUUAAUGGCAUUAACUUGAAAGUGAGCAUAUCAACUUUUUAGGAAAUUCGGGUGAGCAUUUCUUGAGAGGAGCCUUAUGAUGAUGAAGUCAAUGUAACAUUUAUUUUCGAAGAUAUAAAAUUCAAGGAAGUUUUUGAAGACAUUUUAGUGCGUAUCCUGGUCAGCAUGUAAAGACCCAAAUUUUUUUCUUUGGAUAUCGUAAAAUAAAUCUUUUAUGAAAGAUAAUGGGUUAAUUUCACAAACGGUCACUGAAGUUUAAAACUCUCAGUAACGGUUAUUUAAGUAUUGGGACGCUUUCAAAAAUGGUCAUUGAAGUUUAAAAAGUUUCUGAAACGGUCAUUGAAGUUGAAAAAUACUUUUUUAAUUUUUUUGGUUACAUUUUCGACAAUUUUUCGAUUACUUCCAACCACCGAUACCAUCGAAUUUUGAUACUGUUGGAAAGUCCACAACGUCUUCUUCAAUUACCACUCAAAAUCUCUCCGUAACACUAAGGAAUUCGACCGGAAAAGCACCACAAAAGUCGUCCCAAAAAAUCUUAAAAUCUGUUGAGAUUUUCAAAUUUUUGGGUGACUUUUACGACAAUUUUUCAGCGACUUUCGACCUCCAAGACUGUCGAAUUUUGAUACCGUUAGAAAGCCCAUAAUGUCCUCUUCAAUUACUAUUCAAAAUCUCCCCCAAAUUUCAAAGGAUUCGGCCGGAAUAAACACGCAAAGUCGGCAUCCCAAAAAGACAAAAGCCUAGGAUGCCAACUUUAUGAGUUUAUUCCGAUCGAAUCCUUUGGAGUUUUAGGGAGAUUUUAGAUGCUAAUUAAAGAGGACAUUGUGGGCUUUUCAACGGUUUCAAAAUUUGGCUAUUUUGGUGGUCGGAAGUUGUCAAAAAAUCGCCACAAAAGUCCACCAAAAAUCUGAAAAUUUGGGCAGAUUUUUGCCUUUUUGGGUAACCAACUUUAUUGGUUUAUUCCAAUAAGUAAGCCACAUAAAUCGUAAUUCAUAUUUAAAAUUUAGAUAUCUUUUAUGUAUAUGGUAGUUUACUUAUUUAGAAAUGAAUCUUUCGAAUUUAUCUUUUAUACACAUGGAAAUUAUCUUUUAUAUAUAUAGAAGUUUACUUAAUUUUUCAUAAUCAAUAAUAUUAUAUAGAUGUACAUAAUUAUAGUAAUUAUAUAAUUUAAAUCAAUCAGUCAUAAUUAUAUUCAUAUAUAGAUGUACAUAGUUAUAGUAAUCAUACAAUUAAAUCAAUCAAUCAUAAUUAUAUACAAUUAUAUACCAUAAAUAUUCAGAUCAUACUUAUUUAGAAAUAAAUUAAAUCGGUCAUAAUUAUAUUCAUAUAUAAAUGUACGUAAUUCUAGUAAUCAUACAACUAUAUCAAUCAAUCAUAAUUAUAUCAAUACACGUAUACCAUAAAAUAUUUAUAUCAUUAAUAUAUAGUUUAGGGAAUUGCCUUGUAGUUACUCAACUAUUGGUCGAUGUGCAAUUUGGUCCUCUAACUUCCAUACUUUUAAACUAAGGUCCUAAUUUUCAUAAUUAAUGAUUUUAAAAGAUUGGGGGGGGGGGGGGGGGGGUUAUUAUUUGCCCCUCUUAAAAUAAAAUUUCGUCCUGGAAGAUUACCUUAAUUUUUAUCAUUAAAUGGUUGAAAAUAUAUGUAAAAUGGAAGUUCUAAAAUUUUAUUUUAUUAUUAUUAUUUUUUUUAAAUAGAAGUUUCAUAAAGUGACAAUUUCUUAAAAUAAACUCUUCUUAAAAUGAAAAUUUCAUAAAAUUGGGAAUCUAAAAUAGAAGUUUCGUAUGAUAGGAAUUCUUGAAAUAGUGGUUUCUAAAAUGGAAUUUUCUUAAAAAAAUUUAAAGAUGGGAACUUCUUAAAUUUGGAGUGAGUUUGUAUUAUUGUUUUAAUUUUCAUUACUCUGAAUAAAACUCAACUUAUUGACUUUCAGGUGAGGAGGGGAUCACAAGUGGACUGCUUAAAUACCAAACUCUUCUUAAAUAGUUUAAAUCUUUUUGACAAAUUCUUUCAGUUUUGCAAAUACAGGACACAAAAAAGGGGGUCGGGCGGGAAUAAAAGUAUUUAGGGGUAUAUUUUUUUCUAAUCUGACUCUACUAUCUAAUUUAGAGAUGUUCUAAGGUCAACCCCUUUUUAUAAUUAAGUAUAGUUCUGACAUAAUAUCAUUCAUGUUCAUGCCUAUUCACAUAACAUUAAAUAAUUAUGAAUUGCCAUAUUUCUACCUAAUUUGAGGAAAUCAAACCUUGGAACUUAGUGUCACGUAAUAGUGGUCUAAGAAACAUUAAGAAUGUGUUUAAUUGGCAUGAAAAAUAUUAUUUAGAAAAAAAAAUGUUUUCCUUCUUUUGUGGAAAAUAAAAACCACCUCCACUCAAAGAAAAUUAGGCAAAUUUUCAAAAGUUGAAAAAUGUUUUACAUGGAAAAAAUUAGCAAUCAAACACCUCAAGUAGGAAUUUGGAUGGAAAACUGAUAUUUUUCAUGGAAAAUAAAUGUAAUCAAACACACCUUAAGGAACCGUUUGAUUGUAAAGAUAGAAUUUGGAUAGAAAGAAUACGAAUUGAAGUGAAUUGAAUUGAAUUGCUUAGAAUUUGUUUGAGUGGGAAUUGUCGAUUAAUAGUGUUUGAUUGAUAUAAUUUUUCACCUGAAAAUUGUUAAAAUAAAAGUGUCUUUUGAUAUUCGUUUGACUUUGUGUUUCAUGAAAAUUGUCGAUUUAAGAGAUAUCGACUUUUACAAUUGUUUUUAGAAUUUGUUUCUAUUGCAAAAAAAUAAAAAUAAAAAAUAAUAAGAAUAAUAAUAAUCCAAAAAUCAUCAAUAUUUUGAUGUUCGUUUGAUUUUAUUUUAUAUGAAAAUUAUCAAUUUAAGGGAUAUCAUCUUUUUACAAUUGUUCCUAAAAUUUGUUUCCAUUGCCAAAAAUAAAAAAUAAAAAACAAAAAAAAGGGUGAAAAAUAUAAAACCACCUACCCAUGGAAAAAUGAAUUCCCCUGUAAACAAGAAUUGGUGAUUGUGUGAAGCAAAGGUGGAAAUUGAAUUGGUGGUGAAUUCCCCUGUAAACAAGAAUUGGUGAUUGUGUGAGGCAAAGGUGGAAAUUGAAUUGGUGGGAAAAUUUGGCUAUCAAACAGGCCAAAAGUGGAAAUGGAAUUUAUUUUCUAUUUUUUGUGAAAAAAAUUGGGUUAUCAAACAUAGCCUAAAGCUCUAUUUUUUUUUAAAUAAUAAUAAUAAUAACGUAAUCCUAAAUUUAACCUUUAAAAUUUUAAACAUGAACAAUAACUCAUAAUUUUUUUAAGUGUCUACAAAAAUGUAGACCUGUUUUGUUACCAUGUUGUAACAAAUCAAGAAAUUUUCUUUGGAUCAUUAGAACAUAUCGUAAAAUAAUUUUUUUAUAAAAUAUAAUUGUUCUUUAACUUAAAAUAAUAAUAAUAAAAAACAAAUACUUAAUCAUAAACAUUAAAUUAUUAUUCGAGAAUUAUAAUCAUUUUUUCUUUAUUAUACCACUAGAGACUCGUUCCAAACUUUAACGCCUUGAACAUCAAUUCAUAAUCAAUUCAUAGACACCGAGAUAAAAUCCAAAUAAGUAAGCCACAUAAAUCGUAGUUCAUAUUUAAAAUUCAAGAAUUUUUAUCGUACAUAAGGAGACACGAGGAUUAAAAAUCGAACUUAGUUGGCCAUAAUCUCUGUGCAUAAUCAUAAUUUUUGUACGUAGUGCUACUAAACUACGAUCCUUUGAACUUAAAAUAUAGGACCCAAAUCAUAUUCAUAACUUGGAAUUCCUUAUUUUAAAGUAUGAAAGACGAUUUAACAUACAAUAUAUGACUCAAAGUAAAUAUAAUCAAUGUUUGUUAAUCAGAUUUAAUAUAGUAAUUUAUUUUAUAACCUCAAAAACUAACAAUUAAUAUGUCAAAAAUAAUUUGUUUUAUUCAAAUUAAAAAUUAUAAUCUUAUUGGGGUUUAUGAUCUAUUAGUGUUAAUAAAAGUAAUGAAGUAAAUUAGUAAACAUUUGGAAAGUUAGAAUUGACAAUUGACUAUUAUCCUACACUGGAAGAUUACCACCAUAUUGGAAGAAGAAUCACCUUUAAAAAGGAGUUAGUAUCCCACAUCAAAAGAGUACUAAAACAUUGAAAGAAUGAUCUCAUUUAAAAAUGAGGUAAAGGAGAAUCACUUGUCUAAAAAAGUUAUAUGAGCCUUCAAUUGCAGUGGAUGACUCAUUAAGGUAGUUAAAAGUUUUUGUGAAAAAAAUAAUAAUUAAAUCACCCUGCAAAAACCAUGGUUGGUUUAAGCCGGGUUGAUGGUUUAUUAGCUGGUUCUUUAUUUUUCGGUUAAUAUAUGAGUAUCGGACCGGAUAAAAGGUUGGUUCACGAGUUUCUCGGUUGAACCGAUUGGUUUUGUCCGAUUUAUGUAACAUUGAUUAUCUUUCAUAUAUAUGAAAGUUUACUUGAUUUCCAUAAUCAAUAAUAUUAUAUACAUAUAUAGACGCACGUAAUUGUAGUAAUCAUAUAACCCUUGUUUCAGCCACAUUAUUUGAAUGAAAAUAAGUUUUUAAAUAGUGUAUUGAUGAGAAAUGUAUGGUUAAAAAAUAAGAAAAAAAUUUGGAUUUGCCUAUAAUAUUAUUUUACUGAAAAUGUGUGAUUUUAAUGAUGUUAAAUCACUAUAAAAGAAUGUAUUUUUCCAAAAAAAAUGUGGCUCAAAAAAGGCCUAAUUUAAAUCAAUCAGUCAUAAUUAUAUAUAAUUAUAUUCAUAUGUAGAUGUACGAAGGGGGCGAAUCUGGGAAUUUGAGUCAGCAUGGACGGUCGUUGACUGUCUACCAUCGAUCAUAAUAAAAUAUUAAGAGUCGUUUGAUACCCAUUUUUUGCAAAAAAUAAAAAAUAAAAAAUGCAUUUUAUAAUAGUGAUUUGAUAGAGAAUGCGUGACUAAAAAAAUAUUGAAUAUGCGUGUAUUAUUAUUUUAUUGAAGAAUAUGUAGUUGAAAAAAAAUAGAUAAAAAAUGUAUUUGAAAAAAAAAAUAGAAAUCAAAUAAUGCAUAAAGUUUAAAUAUUAACAAUCAUUUUGUUCAAAUUGAACAUAUAUAAUUAUAUUAUAAAAAUAAACGAACUCAUCAAAUGACAUUGUUACCAAUUUUUGUAUAAAAGAAGAGCACAAAUUCAGAUCUUUACAAUUGUACUCGCAUUACAACAAAUAGAACCCGACAAAUAUUAUUUUGUCAAAUUUAUUGCCAAUAUGCAAUGGAUGUCAUAAUGGUCAAGUUAUAAUACCUUUAACAAGAGGUCGUUCAAAUCUUGUUUGGUCCCCCACCCUGUUGAAUUUUGGCAAAAAUUGUAAAAUUUAACUAAUAUUGCACGAUGAGUUUGCUGGUAAAAAAAUUCAAAUUCGAGACCUGCACUAUAUACAUUCAAGUUUUGGCCAAGUGAGCCACAAUAAGUACUUGAAAAUAAAUUGAAUACCAACAAUAUAACAUAAAACUUUAAUCUAUUGCCAACAGAAAAAAUAAUUCCCAACGAAUCUAGCUAGGGCGGCCACCCUAGCUCACUACCACCUAAAUCCGCCACUGGAUAUACGUAAUUAUAGUAUCAUAUCAUUAAAUCAAUCAAUCAUAAUUAUAUACAUAAUUAUAUCAAUACAUAUAUACCAUAAAUAUCGAUAUCAUGAAUAUAUGGUUUAAGAAAUUGCACUUGUAGUCCCUCUACUAUUGGUCGAUGUGCAAUUUGGUCCUCUAACUUUCAUGCUUUUAAACUAAAGUCCUACUUUUCAUAAUUAACGAUCAUAAAACAUUUGGGGGGCAUUAUACAACCACUUGUCAAAUGUCGAUAUGAUGAAAUCUUCAUAUAAUAACAAUAUAAACUGGUCAGUUCUGUUAUUUUAUGUCUCCUAUAUAUGCAUGUUUUAUGCCUCAUUGUCAAGUGUUGGGAUGAACAAAUGAGUCAAAUGAUCCAAGAGCUCAAGUCUGACAAGUCUUGUAGGGUAAGGUUGGAUUUAGGUUCCAACAGUGUCAAGUUAAAAAGGGAAAACGUGCUUGUUUGAAGCAUUUAAACACAAUGGUUGAAUUCCUCGAACUUUGAUAUAUAUCUUUAGAUUCUGUCGCCAUCAAAAGAACGUGAACCUCCAAUCAUGUCAAUGGAUGCGAAUCGACGUGUGCUUUGCGUAGAAUGGCCACUUGAACCCCUUAUAUUUACACAUGGCAAUCAUCCAAGCUAUCCAAGAACUACAACGUAUGAAGUAGCCACGAUCAAAUGCCGAGGUCGUUACACUAAGAUCAGUCGAGGUGGUCAUACCCUUGCUCAUCGCUUAUUGCCGAAUUCCAUGAAAUAUUUGAGGCCCUUGACAAGUUCAACUAGGACGUCUUCGGAACUAAUUGAUGCAACGUGUCCAUUUAUUAAGUGUCAGAAAAGUCAGCAUAGAUUUGUAGGAUAUUUGACCUCUUGUCAAGAGUCUGUCAAUGUAAUUAAUAUAAAGUAAAGUUGAUGUGACAUCAAGAGUCUCGAAUCAAGCCACAUGGCUUGGAUCUAACAGUGACCACGUCAGCCCGAUCACCAUAAAUAGACAAUUUUUGUAUCAUUUAAGAGAUGGAUCUAUGAAUGAAAAAGAGAGCAUAAUACAUCUUCCCCUUGUCUCUAUCUUCUUCUUCCCCAAACAUUCGUAUUCACAGUAAAAACGCUGCAUAAAGGUCCACAUGUACUUUUCAGAGGUCAACAUAUUCAUCGUAGAUAACAAUGUUAAUUUUAGAAUAGAAAUCAUUGCCUUGUGAACACGAGGUUUUUUUUUUAGUACUUUUAUUCCCCUGAUUUUGCUUUUGCUUCUUGUUAUUGAAUUUGUAAGAGUUGCCGUAGUUUAUUGGUACAAUUCUCAGUUCUUCCCUCAACUUUGGGGAUACGGUACAAAACACAAUAAUCCGCCUAAAAUUAUUGACAUCGGCAAGUAAAGCCGCUGCUCCACUUCGUAAAAACUUUAUCGUUCUUCAAGCAGCAUGAAAUCUUGGGAGCUACUUCUGUCCAGUUCAUGCUUCUCGACAAAACUGACUGAAUUCAUAACUCCGAUUCCUUACUGCUUCGCCUGUCAAAUGCAAAAAAUUAUAAGUCAAGUGUAACGAGAAAACCAUUUUGUUCGAACCAUAUAUCUUUGAAUCAUGUUGUUCACAAGACUAGCAAUGUUGACAGAAUCUAAGUUGCAUCCAAACAUUGCUCUUUUCAGAAGUUCGUUAAGUUAAAAGGCAAGAAAUCUUGCAGUGUCGACAGAAUCAAAGUUGUGUUGAGUGCAGAAAUAAGCAGUUUCCAGCCACGGUAUUGAGAAAAAAGUCGACUCAGGAGAAGCUAGCAAAUUACCUGUGAAUACAAGAAAGUUCCAAGAAUGGCAAUGGCGGCUCCAAGACCAUUGAUGGGUUUUACUGGUGUAUGAAAAAUGAUGAUAGACGAGACAAUGACAGAAAUACGUUUCAUCGUGUUUCCAAUGCUAAACGUCAAUGGAGAAAUCUCAUCGAGUGACAUGUAUGACACCUGAUUGUAUAGAUGGUAGAACACACUCUGGGCCGCCAUCCACCUGUUUUAUACAAAAUUCGACAAAGUAACCAUCAAUGAAAUCAAAACUCCAAAUCUUGGCAAAAAGGCAAAAAGAAACAAAAUUUAGUACUAAGUGAACCCAAACAUCGACAACGAAAAACCUGAAGAAUAUCUAAAACUACACAAAAGAGUUUUGCCCGCAUCAAUUUUGAUUAACGGAUCAUAUAAUAAUAGUGAGGUUAUCAUGUGAUUACCAAAUGAUCUGGGGUCCGAUUUGAGAUAGCGCUUCUUUAAAUCCGAGAGCCCAAAUGAAUGGUCCCUCGAUAGCAAUUGCAAAUGGAGUGAGAAUCAAGAGAGAGAGCAUAGAUAAGCAAGCAUAAUAGUUCAUUCCACUGACAGAUUUGCCCUUCAUGCCCCUCUUGGAAAAUAUGUUCCGGAAAACAAACGCCAAAUUCGAUAUCAUGGCCCCCAUAAAACCUGAUGUGAACAGCCAACAAACAUAGGAAUAUAUGCAUUAGAAAACAACAUGAAUAGUGGUAAUCUCCAUUCAAUGUCCCUGCAACUUUAUUCAAUUAUCAAAAAUACCAGAAAAUGCCAACCCGAGUCACAUACAUCAUGCAACUCAAUGAAGAAUUUACAAUAAAAGAAAUAAAAAAGACGAGUUCAUGCUUAAAAUUAAACUAUAUAUUACACUGACAUGAAAGACAAAUGCAUAUAGUACUUGUCUAAAAAGUGUGACCAACACGAUACAUGUCGGACAUAGACACGGACAUGUCACACCAAUGUCAUAGCUCCAUUCUACUAGAAUGGAUAAGAUUAAACAAAGCUCGAUAAGAUCACAAAAGUGAAGAUUCCACACGAAGAUCAACAAAUUACCAGUCAUGUUGAAGUUGAGCUCGGUGAGGGCCGCAAGACCACAACCACCAAUGAUUGGAAUGAGGGACAAGUAAACAGAUGGUGGAAAUGUCUCUCCCAAGAUAAAUCUCGACACCAAAACACUGAAAGCGGGUUCACCACUCUUGACUAUGUGAGUAAAUGAUACAGCCACCUUUGACAUACUCACAGUAGCUGCAACAUGCCCAAUUGUAUGUGCAACUGCAACCUAAACACAGCCAACCCAACAUCAACAUCAAUCAAAUCUUUCUAUAGAAUAUAUACAAGGAAAAAACAUGUUUCGGUAGAUCUAAAUUGCAAAAACACAGAUGGCAUAUUCGGUAGUAGACUGACGGUAUAAACGGAGAAAAAGAAACAAAGCAUUCUGUCCAUUGUGCUGUCAAGUCCAUGUCCAGAAGUUCAAAAACCCCAGAAAGGUAAUUGGUAAGGAAAAGUCAGCAGUUAAUGAAGAAAAAACUAAUUUUUUCUCUGUAGUAUGAUACAGGACAUGGUUCCAUGACCAAAUGUUCAAAAAUCUAGACAAAUAGUUAGUGAGGACUUCACAUUGUUGAUGAAGAAAAAGAAACUAAAAUUUAGUCCAUUGUACCGUCCAUUUCCCAUCCAGAAGUUCAAAAUCCUAAAAAACCAUGAUACGGUGGACUCGACACUAUUAUCGUAGAAAAAGAACCAAGCUUUUUUAGGCAUUGCACCGUUUAGAAGUUCAAAAUUCUUGAAAAUAACUGGUUAAAUGGCCUCUACACUAUAAAAUCAGAAGCAAGAACUAUAAUUUUGUUCAUUGUACUGUCAAAUCAUGAUCAUGAGUUACCACCAAAAAAAAAAAAAAUCUAACCAAAGAAAUGGUAAGUUGAACUCUUUAUCAAUAAAGAAAAAGAAACUGAAAUUUUGUCGGCCGAGUUCGCAUCCAGAAUGUAUAAUUGGUGGACUCGACGCGAACUAAAAUGUUGUCAAUUAUACCCCUGUCCAGAAGAUCAAAAACCCUGAAAAAUAAUUAUACGAAUGGAAGUGAAACACACACACACACACACACACAUAUAUAUAUAUAUAUAUAACAGACAGUAAAACUGCAAGAGAAGCAAGACCCAGAUCUUGUAAAACCGUAAUUUUUCUUACAGGAAAAAGGGUCUUCCAAAAAUCAAGAUCAGUUUUUGGGGUUUCAGCAAUCCUCAGAGCCCAGGAAAUGAGCAUGAUCAAUGAUCCAGCAGCCAGCGAAAGCGUUGAAGUUAACCAUGGAAAUGGAAAAGCAUUCAAAACUUUCUUGUUAUAUAUAUUAAAGAUCACAUUCAAAGCCCACCACGUUGCGAAAUAAAUCCCGAUCUUAACUCUCCUCGCCGCCUCGGAUUUCGCCACCGGCGACUCGCUGAUCGGCUCCGAUUUUUCAGCUUCAUAUGCUUUACACGUGAUCAAAGACUGCUCCUUUUCGUGUUUUAAAGAUUUCUUAAAAGAAGUGGAGAAAGGUUCUGGUGAAACGAUGUGGAGAGGUUUAGAAAAGGAAACAAUGGAGUUCCGGCCAUUAUUGGCCGAUAGGAGGAACUGCAGGUGGCGAGUAGGCGCCGGCACCAGAGAUCUUGACCGGGGAAUAUAAUGGCCGUUGGAUGCUAAAGUAGGCUGCUUAAGAGAGGAGAUCAUAGUAGUAAGAAAUAAUCUUGAGACUUGAGCGUGUACAAAAUAGAAUUUGGAGAUGAAGAAGGAAUUUGACUAAAAUAGAUUUCUAAAUCUAUUAGAGAUUUCUUUAUACGUAGAUGUUGAAUAUAGACAGGAAUUUUGUUACUUAGAGAAAAAUGUAAACUUUUGGUUGUGCCAAAGCCAAAUGGACAGGCAGAAGCUAGUUAUUUGAGAAGAGUCUGAACAGCCGUGUAUAUAUCGAAUCUGAAAAUUCAAAAUUAUUUGGAGAUCGUAGUAAAAUUAUAAAUAUAGAGAGGAAGAAGGGUCUUCGCCAUUUGGUCCUGUUUACCGUUUUUAUAUAUACAAAAGGGGAGAGAUUUGUUUGUUUCAAAAUGUGGAAAUACAGUUGCUGACUGGUGGUUUGUUGACAGGAAGAUUCAAGAUUUUGAAUAAAGAAGAGGAAGCGAAAAGGGACAAGUUUUGUUCCUAGUAAGUAGUAGGGUGGCAAAACCGAAAUCACACAGUUUAACACCGAGAAUAAAUAUGGUUUACCUUUAAAAGUGACCGGUUCAUCUUCAAUUUAUUUAUCUAAUAUUUUUAUUAUUUAUUCUAUCAUUAACCAAUUUGCAUUUUACGAGUCAAAAUUUGUAUCCAUUUUAAAACACUACAAAUUCUUAAAGUUAAUAAUUUUUUAUUUAUAAAUAAAUUCACAAAAUGUAAUAGAUUUUGAAAUUUGUUAUGCCACUCAGGUCUUUGAAUUGACAUAUUGAUAUUCAUUUUUGUCAAGAUGCAUUUUUCAACCACAUACUUUUUAUUAAAAUAAUAUUACACGUAAAUUAAAAAAUUUUCUUUAUUUUUCAACCACACAUUUCACAUCAAUUUACUAUUCUAAAAUGCAUUUUUACAUAAAAAUGACUCUCAAAUACCUCCAUAAUUUUUAGAAUAUGAUACGGAAGAAUUAUGGCAUACAUAUGCAAAUAUAAUCUUGUCACGUUCUUUGAUUUAGGAGUUUUGUAUUAUUUUCAAUGAAUGCCAACUAUUAAGAAUACUUACUAAUUUGUUUGAUUUCUGCAAGAAAUACAAUUGCACCACUUACCACAAGAGGUUAACGUUACUUUUAAUUUGUCCAUUUCAAAUACUAAAAUAAUUUACCGUGUAAUUUGAUAAGAGACUCUCAAAUACUAAAAUAAUUAGUGUUAGAAUUUCUCCAAAAAUAGCAUGUUUUGCACCUUGGAUUGUGUGUAUUGAUUAAUUAAUUAUUCAAUCAAUAUCUAUUUGUUAAUUAAUAUUUAAUAGUAGUUCGCUUUUUGAAAUGGCAUAUUCCGAGCAUUAUGAUGAGAUGCCACUUUAAAAUUGUUCCACCUACUCUAAUCUAUCAAAUUAUAAUAGAAAAUAAGAGGAAUUUGCAAAAAUGUUCAAUUUUAUAUAUCUCAAUUCAAAAAUAUCAACUUUUAAUAAUCUUUACAAAAAUGAUCAAAUUUGGCAUCAAAUUCUUCAUUUUACCCUUAAUGAAAGAAUAAAUAAUUCAACUUUUCUUUUACAAGUUGACACUAAUAUCGAUAAGAGAAAUGACUUCCAUGGGAAGCCACAAUAAUUGUUGCUAUUACCCAUGCUCGUCCACUUGCCUGCACUUUUCUUUAGAUAUUAACAAAUUAUUUUUGAAAAAUUCAAAAACAUAAAAUAGCAAACAUUAACAACCAGAAAAAAAUCUAUGGUUUGUACUCCAAAAGAAAAAAUAAUUUGUUUAUAGCGAUAAAUUUAAUAUCAUACAAAUUUGAAUUCGAGUAGGCUCUCCUCAUUUCUGGGCAGAAGAUAUUUUUCUGUGUUAUUUGAUAUUUAUUGAGAAGUAGUUUGUCGUAGUUGUCGUUAUAUAUUUGAUUUCAAUAUGGUAGACUGUCAAAAUAAGUAGUAGAUAUUUGUCAUAAUCUUCUUACAUUUCUUAGUUACAUAAUAAUUGAAGGUACUCCUGUAAUUUAAAUGUCAUUAAUUGUAGCAUAAAUUCUUUACAAAAAUAGUAGUUGAAGAUGAUAAAUGCAUAUGGUGAAGUGGAUCUGUCAUGUCACUCUCGUCGAGAAUUGUACUUGAAAUGUUGUUUUCUACAAUUACAAGCGUCGAGAAUGUUACUUUUAACGUCAUUCUCGUCAUUUAACAAUGUCGAGAGUAACAUUACAAAUACCACGACGAAAUUAGGGAACAUUUUUUGUAUAUUGCUUGCGGAUAAUUAGCAUAUUCGUUUGAAGUAUUCGUAAUUAGUUGAUACUAUUUUUUUGUUUAUGGCAUGCAGAUAUGAUUGAUGUUAUAAGAUUUGUCGUCUCCUAUGGUGGUACAUUUGUCAACAUUGACGACGAGUGGAAGUGGUUAGGCAAUCGAACAGCAUCAAUUGUUGUCCGACGUCAUAUUGAAUAUGAAGAGCUUGCAUAUAAAUUAUUUGAGAAGCUUAAUAUUGACAGACUGCAGUUUCGGAUUCAACUAAAAUUUAAAGUUCCAAACAUGAACGUAUCCCUUGCUGAUGUAGCCGACGAUGAGGCUUUGUAAUGAUACUUUUUUGUUCACACACAAGCAAUUUUGUGUGUAACUGCAGAUGAAUAUGAUGCUGGAGAGCAAGAACCACAUGUCAGGGAUGGCACGUCCUUUCCAAUAGAAGAUGCAUGCGAUGUAGUCAGUGUGUACGAACUACAAGAGUCAAAAAUGAUUGAUAAUAAGGGUGUAGGUUUAGGUAAAUAGAAUUUGUAUAUUGAAAAUACAAUUCAGUCGAUCAAUCAACAAGAAAUUCACGAGAAUCAGAUUUUCUUUACCAGGAAACAGCUGCACACAAGACUUCGACUAAAUGCUUUGACAGAGAAGUUUUAUUUCAAGGUUAAAAAGUUUAAUCUCAAAUCUCUUACUGUGUGCUGCAUCGACAUCACGUGCCAUUAGCUAUUGCGAGCCUCCAAGAUAAAAAGUACGGACUUCUUUAAAAUUCGAAGGUACAUACCUGACCAUACAUGUUCUUUGUAUGUUCGGCGGAAUGUGCGAAUUCAUGCAACGAGUGCACUGAUUGGGCAUCACAUUACCAGACGAUUGGUCGAUGGAAACCAACCAUACAUUCCCGUGGGCAUUGUCGGGGAUAUACAACAUGAGUUCGAUGUACGAAUUAGCUACAGUAAAGCGUGGUGGGGUAAAGAGAAGGGACUUUGAAUUCUUCACGAUUCACCUGAAGAGAAUUAUCAAAAAUUGCUUUCAUACUGUUACAUGUUAAUUGAACGAAACCCAGGAACCAUCGUACACAUUGAGCUCGACCCUAAUAACAGGUUCUUCUACUUUUUCUUAGCAUUCGGGCCGAGCAUACAUGAUUUUCGAGAGGACAUGAGGUCGGUAAUUUGCAUUGACAGGAGUCAUUUGAAGCGUCAGUAUAAGGGAACACUAUUAGUAGCUGCAGCGCAAGAUGCCAACAUACAAAUAUAUCCUAUUGCUUGGGGUGUUGUCGAUGGGAAAACAAAUGCAUCCUGGUAUUGGUUCUUCACAAAGUUGAAAGAUAUUGUUGAUGAUUCAAAUUAGCUAGUGUUUGUAUCCGACAGGAAGAACAGCAUCAAGUGAGCAAUUACAAUGUUUUUCCCGCUUUUGCACCACGGUGCCUGCAUAUGACAUAUCGAGAAAAAUCUCAUUGCUAGGUAUAGCAGUCGAAAUGUCAUAUUCCUUUUCAAAAGUGCAGCAUUCGCAUACUGCGUAUCAGAAUUCCAGCAAAUGAUGAGACAAAUUCAGACCAUUCGGCCAGCAGUUGCAUCUUAUUUGGAACGUGCUAGUCCAUCUACUUGGUCAUGGGCAAAUUUUGUCGGUAAUCGGUACAAUAUCAUGACUAAUAAUAUUGCAGAGUCAUUGAAUUCAGUCCUUAGGCGGCAACGAAGUUUCCCUAUAACCUCGUUCGUCCAACACAUUAUGACAUUGAUGCAACAAUGGUUUUUCGAGUGGAGAAACACAUCUACCAACUGUCAUAUUGCCCUGACAUAAAAAAUGGAGGGGAAAUUGAGACAAUCUUUUGACACUGGUGCAACCUUAGAUAUAUGAAAUUUGGAUGAACUCGUUUUCGAGGUUGGCACAUGUACAGAAAUGUGUACUGUCGACCUUGUAGGUAACACAUGUUCAUGUCGAGAGUUUCAGAUGCGACAAAUUUCAUGUGUACAUGCGUCUCGCGCUACGUGCUCAAAAGGUAUAUCACUGUACGAUUUGUGCUCCCGUUACUACACCACGAAGUGUUAGCAAGCUUCCUACACCAAACUUCUUUACCCCGUUGGAAUGGAGUUAGAUUGGGUUGUUCCCGAUACUAUUAGUUCCAUCAACAUUUUGCCUCCAAAUAUACGUAUAGCACCAGGUCGCCCUCCUACCCAACGUAGAAGGUCAAUAACUGAACGAUCUACCAGCACUCGAAAAUGUGGCCAAUGUGGUGAUUCCGGACACAACAGGCAAACAUGUAGGACUCGACAUAGAGAAGUAACACGUGCACUUGAAUUACCAGUUUAUUUUUUGUAUGAAAUCAUUUGCUAACAUGGACUAUCCAUGUGUUCAAUAGAUUUUUGUACAUUUCAUGGUUUCUAUCAUUUUCUUUCCAAAUGUAAUUGGUAGGGUUCGAUUUUGUGUACGAAAUGAUUCGCUAACAUAUAUUAUCUACGUGUUGAACAGAUUUAUGAGCAUUACAUGCUUUCUAUCAUUUCGUUUCUGAAUGUUAUCGGUAGUGUUCGAUUUUAUUACCACGUAAUUUCAUGAAGACAAAAGUUAAUAACUAUUUCAGUACUACAAUUUUCUUCAUUAUUAUAUACACAACUUGGUAAUGGAUACAAAAGAAAGCCAUGCAUGACUCGUUUUCUUAUGUCACUGGCCAUACUAAAUAGUCGUCACAACAAAAGUAGAAAAUCACUAUGUGCAUAUUCGAGGUCACUGCACAUACAAAUUGGUCAUCACCACAAAAAUUAUCCAUUAUCUAUAUACCUAUAAAUAUGUCAUUAGAUAUGCUUAGACAUUAUAGAUAUACGAUCAAACCUUCUACAUGUCCUCCACAACGGACAAAGAGGACAUAACACUGUCAUUGUCAUCGUCGUCGUCCGAGCUUAUCACUAUCACGUCAUCAUUUCUGAUCGGAAUCACCUCGGAAUUGUCAUCCACCAAAGCUUGGUCUGCUUCCUGUGGGACCUCCAUUGGUACGUUCUCACGAUUGACAUUAUGAUUACCAUCGCCAACAUGCAGCGGCUCCAUUUCAUUGAUUAGAUUAGGGAACGGAAUGGGGUGCAGGCAAACCCUACGACGGCGGUUCGUUGCUUGAGGAAUAUAUGGAACAAUGACAUUGAUUUCUUCGUCAUCUUUUGAGUCGAUGAUGAUGGGGUUGGCCGCUGAAGAGUCGGGUACGGAUACAUUCAUGACAACAUCAAUAUGUGGAGUCCAUUCAGUUGAUGAAGACUAUUCACCGAAAGAACUUGUUCGCGUUAAUAUUUUGUUCAAAGAUACAUGCUUGCAUAUUGAAGUCAAUUCCAUUAUUUUAUAGUGAACACUGAGGUGUACAUUACUGCAUUAAAAGUCCUCACACCAACUUCACCUACUUGUAUUUAUAUUUGAUUGACAUGCUGUGUCCCCAUAAUAUCUCCUGAUUGUCCUAUCUGUUAAUCUUUGCCUCCAUUUCACCCAUUUUCAUUCCAUUGUUAAUACUUGAAAUAGUAUUUAUUGGGAAAUGUGUAGUCCAAAAAGUAGGGAAAUGUUGAACAAAAAGCACAAAUCGAUGCAAUUCAUGACAUUUCAUGUCGUUAUAACAUUUCAAUAGUUGUUAUCGACAUUCAUAAUCUGAUCGACACUUGAACUUACAUUAGAUAUCGUGUUAACAUUUGUAUUGAAAAACGAAAUGAGACACUUCUCAACAUUUCAUACAUUUCUUGAUAUUUGUCGUGUAGUUCUUGACAUUACAUGUCUGCAUAUCUUUACACUUGACAUUACAUUUGUCUAGAAUGACAGUACGAGCAUAAAAAAAUACAUAAAUAUAGCAAUGAACAACUGUUAAUGGACACCGGUGGUGAAAUAUAAUCAACGGUCACACAAUCAAAGUACAGCUAGCCACUACGACUUUUUCACUAUCGGGAAUGAAGAAAGUAUUAGUUAUGACAAAGAUCUACUGUAAUCUUUCGUCUGUAUAGUGACAUUUUAUCUGCUGAAAUUAAUUCUAUUGGAUGCCCUAGAACGAAGUAUUUUAUAUAUUUGAGUAGAAACAUUACGCAAUUUGGCCUAUACAAGAAAUGAUUUUACGUUAGUCGAAAUUAGUAUAUACGAUAAAUUAACUACGAUAGUAAAUAAAAAGAGUUAAAAUGCUCACCCAUUGUUCGUACAUGGUAGAUAGGGUAUAAUCUCCUGCUUUAUUUGUUCAUUUUUAUGUUUAUUUAUAUCUCAUUUGGUGGAAAGGGGUGAACACUUCAAUAAUCCUUGAAUCAUAGUGCGUGUUGCUUCUGCAUGUGCCUUGAUUGUAUCUGGUGUGUGAACAUUAUUGCUGUAGUCGUAUAUCUGAAAUUUUCAUUCAGGAAUAUUGACCAGAAAAAGAUAACAUUCAUUGCCUGGAUAUGAGCUUGGAAUUAAUAAAUACUUGCAUCCCAUCCAUGGACGAUCAGCUACAGACAAUCUACCAUUGACGUAGUCUUGUAGGCGAGUUCCAUCUGGUUGACCUCUCUUGUUUCCCAUUCGAAAGUCCAAUUACCACCUCAUUUGAUGAGAACACUCCUCUUCAAAUUGAAAGUCCAAAAUUGCAUAUUGUUUAUUGACGAGAGUACAAUGUUCAUUCAUACGUCACCUUAAUAACUUCAGCUCCAACUCAAUAUGCUAAUGAAAUAAAUACAUGUAACAUAUAUUAGACAUAUUGACUAUGAAAUCAAAUUGUUUGUGAUUGCUAACCUUCACUCACCGCAAUAUUCAAAUCCUUCGUCGGAUCUAUUAAAGUUCUCAGCAUGUCUCUUCCAUAAACAUUGUUACUGCCAUCAUCCAAAUAUGCAUUAUUAUAACAUAAUUUAAAUUACUGUCGAAUAAAUCAACAGAGAAUUUUUGACAUUGAUAUAAUAAUGUUUAGCAUUCGAACUAUUAAGAAUGAGUUAAAUUUGUUAUCUAGAUUGAUUUCUCGGUAUCCAAUUUUAAAUGUUUUUGUACUUUUUCAUGUCGACGGCCUGUGAAUGAUGAAGACUAUGUGUAUUUUAUCUUCUUUUUCCUUUCUCUUAUCUACAUUUCAACACUUUCUAUUAGUUGAGACAUUGAUGUCUCCUGUGGUUGAUCAGUAGGAUUUAGACUUGCAUGGGGAAGAACAUCCUGCUGCAUGGAACCUAUAAUGACUUUCAUAUUGGAUUCUCAGUUAGAUAAUCUGUUUAACAUAUUCUCAUUCUUUUCGUCAAUGUAAGAUCUCACAGAACAUAAACCGGUAUCAACAUAAGAUUGCAUGUGUUCCUGUUGCUGUUGGAAUAAUUCUUCUUGCUUUUAGAGAAAUGCCUAAUAAUGGGCUUAUUGUUUCUGCGAUUCUUGGGCAAUAUGAGUGUUAAAUAAACUUGAUAGAGAAUUAUCCAUGUAUGAAUACAUACUACAUUGCAUGUAAUCUUCCAACUAUUUGUUAUGUUGUUUGAACAGCUGCUUUUGGCUUUCAAGGAUCGCAUGGUUUAGAAUUCUUGAUUUUUCAACAAAUUCUACCUUCGAGUUGCCACAUAGACUGGACACAUCUGAUAUCGUAUACUGCCUCUACAUACCUAACAUUUCUUUCAUUCGGUCUUCAGUUACAUAACUGGAGGAACCAGAAGCAGAACUAGCCCAACUCCAGUUGAAGUUCUUGAUGUACCACAACUGGUUGUUUCUUGCACACGAAUGUUAUCCGGUAUUGGUUGUACUACAUUAUCUAAUUUUUCAUUGACAAUGACAUCUAAUAUACUAUAUUCAUUGUCAGUUAACAGUGAAAGACUUGUGUACCACGAUGUUUGUAAUUCUUCUUCCGUAGGCUGCAGCACUGUAAUGACUUCGAUCUGUAAUCAUAAAAAACUCUUAGAAUUAAUUUGUUGAAUUGAACUUGUUAAUAAUUAAAUGCGAAUGUCAUUCUACAUUGAAAAGAAAAAAUUUAUACAUCUUCAGUAUCCAAAAAUUCCUUAACAUUCGAUUCCUUGAGUAUUGUAUUUGGCCUCCAAUUAUACAUUCGUGGAAUCUGCACCGUUUUGUAUCUACGACGACCAAACUUUUGUCCAAUAUGUGGAAACGCUUCAUAUAUCUAAUACUGCAACAUAAUUAAAGAUAAAUGUGAUGAAUAUAAUUUAUUCUUUGUACAAAAAAAUUAUACAAAUACGUCAAUAAUUAGAAUAGGAACAAAAUACCUGAAAUGCAAGUGGAUAGCCUUGUACUGCAUACUUACAUUCCGUUUGUUGGUUCUGUUGCAUCCUUAGUAUUCUUUUUGAUUGUGACUCUUUCAAUGAAUUUAACAAAACGAAAUAUGCUUUACGGCCUCAUGGAUACAUAAGGAAUUCAUCAAGAUGUUCAAUCAUGCCAGGAGUUCUAUAAUAAAUUUGUCUUAAAGUCGGUUUCAACACACACUCAACCAGCAUAACUAAUCCCAGCUUAAAUUUAUCUUCUUCAUCUUUACAUAUGCGAAAAGCUUCAAAAAGCAUUCUAUUACUAAUUCUUUUAGCACCAUUGAAGUAUUGAUUUCUGAGACGAUCGUUAUUAUAAUCAAUUUCUAUGAAUGAUUCAUGGCAAGGUAGUCUAGUAAUGAGGUAAAAUUCUUGCAUGACAAACCUAGCAAGAUGGUCAUUUAACCGUACCCAAAGUUCAUUAUUUUGCCAUAAUGUACAAGUCUCAUUAUAAAUUUGUGUACCAACCUACUAGUAAAUUAUUCUUCUUCUCCUUUGAAAACAACUCCAUAAAUAAAUCCAUGAAAAUUAUUACACAUCGGAGAACAUUGUUGAUUUGUAUCUAUAAAUUCUACAAAAUCUUUAAAGUAUUCAUUACCCACCCACUCUAUAGACGCGGCUGAUUGAUGCUUAUGAGCAGACGCCUCACACUGUCAGAUGUAUACACGUGUCCCACAUCCAACGGUUCUCCUCACCUAUAAAUACUCAAGGUUUGAAAAAAGGCAAAGGUAAUGAAACUCUUACAAUUUAGCUCUCCAUAAUAAGAAAAUAUAUAUUCUCCUCCCCAUUGUCUUGCACAAUCCGGGCACUAUUCUAAUCACCGGAUACUAACUUGACUGUCGGAAUGUAUACGACCACCACCACCACUGCUAGUUCCGACCGUAUGCGUCUGAUCAUGCUUUGAUUGUGCAUAGGAAGGAUCAUGUGGAGUAGCUAUCGAUUGGCCACGUGGGAGGUCGAAUUCGCGAGGUCAACAGAUUGGCGUCGUCUGUGGAAAACUUCGUGUCCAAAGUUCUACAUUUCUCCACCGAAAAAGCCAUUGGAAAGCCAUUGACUUACCCUGAAAAGGGCACGGUCUUGAAAAAGAGCAAAGUCGAAUUGCAAUCCAAAUUCUUAUCACCCUUGAAAAAGGAGUAGAUAAGAUGAGUUCCAGUAAUGAGGACGCAAACCCCAGGAUGGACACCUCUGAAGAAGAGGUGCUCCGAAAUAAUGUCACUCACCAAAGACCCCAUCACCGGCAUCGUCAAGGUGAAAGAACGGUCAUGCUCACUGAAGGAAUGACUCAAAUAGUUGUGGGCAUGGGAGAUAUUGCAACUCAAAAUAUAGCGAUAGAUGAAUUCUUCAUGCAAGCCCGAUGUCAUCAGAGCUCCCAAAUGCCCCAAGGAUCUUACCAGCUCAUGAAGUCCCCGCAUCUCAUUUUCGAGGCCAUAUGAGCCAGCACAGAGAACGCGCCCUCGAAAGAGAAGUGGGUACGGAAGUCACAUCCUAUGUGUAAGGGAGCCAACGAGCAAAACCGCAAUUGGGGGACAACUUCCCACUAGAAUAUGAAGAACAAAGGUCGGUCAGUGUCUUUGACUGAAUAGGGCAAGACCUUAGUAAUAGGGUUCGCUCAGUGCAAAAAUCAGUUCGGCAAGAGUAGGAGCAAGAACAAGCACCCCUUCUACCUAAAAAUGGGAAGGAAAGAAGGAACUUAGUUGAUUGGGUAGUCGAGUAGGAGCACCUCCAUCUCCCCAGAACAUGCAAGAUGAUGAGGGCUCCGAAGGGCCGUGUCGAUCUUAUGAAGUUGAUGAUGAUGAUGAUAGCUUCCAUUUUUCAAGAGAGAUCUGAUGCUUCCCAAUGCCUGCGAAUUUCAUGCCCCAUAAAAUCCCCAAGUAUGAAAGAAAGGGGGACCCAGAAAAGCACCUCACCAAGUACAUGACACAGAUGAGCCUUAGGAGAGCCUCGCCUGCUUUGAAAUGUAGAGCUUUCCUCCUAACCCUGGCCGAAGCCGUAGAAGUGUGGUACAAUAGACUGCCUCCCCUAAUCAUUAGGAGUUGGCCAGAUCUGAAAAAGACAUUCUUAAACCAGUACCUCUCACGUAGAGAAGAAGAGGCUCCAGUGCAAUGCCUACAAGAUAUGAGACCAGCCCCUGGAGAAACGCUGAAAAGCUACCUCACCACGUUUACGAAUGAAAUGACAUACUGCAAACAGGUCAUUGACAGAGAAGCCCUUUCAGCCUUGAAAAAUAGCCUCAACAUGAACAUUUUGUUCUAGAGGGAUAUACGCAGCAAGAAUCCCACCACUUAUGACGAACUGGUAGAAAUGAUGUGAGUUGAAAUCGUCAGCGAAGAGAUGAUUGAUCACCGAAACCGUGCCACACGGGGACUCCCUCCACGUCAGAGGCAGGUAGGUUGCUGACGCACAACGCACUUGGAUACCCAGUAAUGGACCCAAGCAGGGCAUACAAUAGCUCCCACGUCCGGACAGGCACUAGCUUUUGCCACGCUAAAUGCAGUGCCAGUAUUGGCAUACAAGAAUGCCCCUGCCGAGGUGGGACCAUCUAGGGGUACUGAUAGUAAUCGAAAGAAGAAGAAUAAGAGCUCAAACAGGCCCUUAGAAGGGGCAAGGUUCUGCACCUUCCACCAACUCUAUGGACACAACACCAACGAAUGUAGAAAUGCUUCUCGAUGCUCGGAUCGAAAUAACCUACAUCCCUCAAGGAGGCACGAACUCGCAGAUCCACCUCCUCGAACAGGGGAGAAAGGAGGCAAAGAGACCAGUCACCCUGGAGAAGAGAAUCGAGGGACAGAUGAGAGUUCAGACAGAGAGAUCGAGACCCAUUUUCUGGAGGCCAAAUCAUCAAAGAAAUUGACAUGAUCAUUGGGGGACCUCACAUCAGUGGCAACACUAGGAAUGCCCAAAGGAACUACACAAGGGAAGCAAAGAAUCCACUAAUGCUCACUUACAUCGUCAACCAAUCCCAAGAAGUCAACAAGAUGGCCCUGAUUACCUUCUUCCAAGAAGAUGCACAAGGAGUUUACCACCCCAUUGUGAUGCGUUGGUAGUAAGAGCCGUAGUGGCAAGAAGCGAACUCAAGCGCAUGCUCGUCGACAAUGACAGCUCGAUAAAUAAACUGUUCGGCUUUACCUUCGACAAAAUGCUAAUUGAACAUGGGUUAAUCUCCAUGACCGACCCACUAUUUGGAUUUACUGGAGACAGCAUCGUCCCAUAAGGACGAAUUACUCUGCCCGUUGAGAUGGGUUCAACUCCCCUAGUGGCCCAACAUUUUAUGUAAUUCUUGAUAGUACACCACACAUCAGCCUACCACGGAGUAUUUGGUAGACCCGCUUUGAAAGAUCUUUGGGCUGUCACCUCCAUCCAUUACUUAUGUAUGAAGUUCCCAAUUGAACAUGAAAUUGCUACGGUUCAAGGCAACCAGAUGGGCUCCAGAGCAUGUUACCUAAACUCUCUGCGAAAAUCAGAGCCCUGCACUAUUAAUGUGAUCAUAACAAAGGUUGCGAAUGAAGCUGACUUGGACAUGGAAAUGCUCGAUGCCCCUGAACAAGGGCAUACCUCCCAACAGGGGAAAGACGUUGAUAUGGAAGAGGCCCCUGAAGAAGGGCACCCUCUUGAUGAAUUAGACCCCCGAAUAACUGACUCAGAACCGAAUGCGACCCCAAUGGAAGAACUUGAAACUUUCUCCGUCAACCCAGAGGACCCCAAUCAGGUCUUGCGAAUUGGAAAGAUACUGUCCCCUAAAGCGAAAGAAGAAAUGAUAAGCUUCCUAAAAAAAACUUAGAUGUCUUCUCUUGGAAGCACAAAAACAUGGUGGGAAUAGACCCAAGGAUCAUUUGCCAUCACCUUAACAUCAACUCCUCUUGUGCCCCACGUCGGUAGAAAAGACGAGCCCUCAUCUCGAAACGGUACAAGGCGCUCAAAGACGAAGUAAACAAGCUUAGCCAUAGCGGCUUCAUCUGAGAAGCCAUCUAGCCGAAGUGGAUAUCCAACUCGAUCCUUGUGAAGAAGCCUAGCGGGAAAUGGAGGGUGUACGUAGACUUCACGAACUUAAACAAAGCAUGCCCUAAAGAUAGCUUUCCAUUGCCAAGGAUAAACCAACUUGUGGAUUUCACUGCUGGACAUGAACUCUUAAGUUUCAUGGAUGCGUACUCAGGGUACAACCAGAUAUCCAUGUUCCGACCUGAUGAGGAGGCCACAUCGUUCAUCACAGACAGAGAGGACUGUACUGUUACAAAGCCAUGCCCUUUAGAUUGAUAAAUAUCGGAGCUACAUAUUAGAGGCUGGUCAACAUGAUGUUUGCCGAACUCAUUGACAAAACCAUGGAAGUCUAUAUGGAUGACAUGCUAGUUAAAAGCCUCCAAGCGACGUAAGUCACCUCGAUCAUACCUUUCAGAUUCUUAGAAAAUAUAAAAUGAAGUUGAACCCCCUCAAAUGCACCUUCGACGUGGCUUCGAGUCAGUUUUUGGGAUACAUUGUGAAUCAAAGGGGAAUCGAAGCAAAUUCGGUAAAGAUGAGGGCCUUACUAGAAAUGAGGUCACCUCAAAAGCCAAAGGAGGUCCAAAGCCUCAAUGGUCGGAUAGCCACGCUCGGUCGCUUCAUCUCUAGGGCCGCUGAUAAGAGCUUACCCUUCUUUAAAGUGUUGAAGCAAUGAAAGAAGUUCCAAUGGACCGGUGAGUGCGAGGAAGCCUUUUGAGCGCUGAAGAAGCACUUAGGAGAGGCAUCUCUGUUAUCCAAACCUGAACCACAAGAAUCACUGCUGCUGUUCUUGGCGGUCUCGGACGAGACGGUCAACGCAGUCCUAGUCAGAGAAGAAAACAAGCACCAAUUGCUAGUAUACUAUGUCAGCAAAGCACUACUCCCAGUAGAAACAAGCUACCCAGACAUGGAGAAACUGGUACUCGCCCUUAUCACAGCAUCAAGAAAAUUGAGGUCGUACUUCCAGGCCCAUUCAAUUGAAGUUCUCACCAACUUCCCAUUAAAGCAGGUGCUGUAGAGAACAUAAGCUUUGGAUCGUUUGCUAAAAUGUGUAAUCGAGCUCAGUGAGUUCAACCUAUUGUUUCGAUCCCGAUAUGCCAUCAAGGGCCAAGCCUUUGCAGAUUUUUGGCUGAAUUUGACAAAGCCCUAGAAAUGGAGGCGACAAUGGAACCAGUCGAGCCCCCAAUAUGGAACCUGUUCGUGGAUGGAUCCUCAGGAGAACUGGCUCCAGAGCAGGGAUCGUCUUGGAAAGCCCAGAAGGCCACAAGCUAAAUUGUACAGUAAGGUUCGACUUCAAUGGCUCGAACAAUGCUACCGAAUAUGAGGCCCUUCUAGUAGGCCUUAGACUUGCGAAAGAAAUGUAGGUCAGAAGGCUCCUGGCAAGCAGCGACUCUCAACUUGUGGUGAGUCAGGUCAAUGGAAACUUUGCUGCUAAAGACAGUAGCAUGACUGUAUGCUUAAAAUUGGUUCUAGACCUAGUUCCUCAUUUUGAAAGGUCCAAACUGAUCUAAGUCCCAUGCCUCGAGAAUACUUAUGCAAACGCCCUGUCAAAGUUGGCCAGCAGCAAAGAUUCAGAGCUACUAAAGAUUGUUCCCAUUGAACCCUUGUCGAAGCCCUCUAUCUCCGGAGGUAAAGAGUUUUUAUGGAUAGAAAGUACCCUAUUAUGGAUGCAAUCCAUCAUAACCUGUCUUAAGGAUCAAUCACUAUCAGUUUCGAGAAGCGAAGCGAAGAAGUUAAGAAGAAGGGCAACACACUUCGUUCUACAAGUGGAUGUCCUCUACAAAAGAGGCUUUGCCUCACCACUUCUCCAAUGUGUAGGAGGGAGAGAAGCCAUGUAUAUACUCAGAGAGAUCCAUGAGGGAAUCUAUGGAAAUCACUCGAGAGAAAUGGCUUUGGCACACAAAGUACUCCGACAAGGCUACUUCUGGCCGACCCUGAAAAGAGAUACUUGCCAUUUCGUUUAGAAAUGUGACAAGUGCCAACACUUCUCAAAUAUUCAAAGAUAGCCUUCUCAGAGCCUCUCCGUAGUCACCAAUCCGUGGCUAUUUGCCAAGUGGAGCAUCGACUUCAUUGGUUCGCUCUCAAAAGGAAAAGGAAGCGCGACUUUUGUCAUUAUCGCCAUUGACUACUUCACCAAGUGGGUCGAGGCUGAACCUCUUGCCAAGUUUACUGAGGCGAAUACUACAAAAUUUGUCCGAAAAACAUCAUUUACAAGUUCGAUAUUUCCCACUCCUUAAUGUCUGACAACGGGAGACAGUUCGACAACAAGAAAAUGUGAGACUUAUGCGACGAACUGGGAAUAAAGAAGGAUUUCUCAACGCCUCAUCACCCCCAAGCAAAUGGGCAAGUUGAGGCAGUAAACAAAACCAUCAAGCAUACCCUGAAAAGGAAGCUUGACGGCUUGAAGGGGGCUUGGGUUGAUGAGCUUCUCCACGUCCUCUAGGCCAUCUGCACAACUAGUCGAGUCGCGACAGGGGAGACACCCUUCUCAAUGGCCUAUGGAGGCAAAGCCAUGAGCCCGGUCGAGGAAGGAGUCCUAUCGCAUCGUCGGAUACACUUCGAUGAUAUCAGAAACGAUGAAACUUGAAUGUGCGAACUCCACCUCCUUGAAGAAAUGAGGGAUACUUCCCAAGUGAAACUAGCUAAGUAUCAAAGAAAGAUGACCUACUAUUACAAUUCCAAGGUCAGAAAUCAAACUCUUCGGCUGGGGGACCUCGUCCUUAGAAGGGUUUUCCAAUCAUCAAAUCCAACUGGGUCCAGAGUGUUUGGACUGAACUAGGAAGGUCCUUAUCACAUCCGCAAGGAGUCCCAACCUGGUACUUUUGAAAUUGAAGACAUCACAGGGAGAAUACUGCCUCAUCAAUGGAACAUCGAACACUUGAGGAAGUACUAUUAAUGAUGAACGCAUGUUCCGAUCCGAUCUCAAUGUUGUCUAAUAAGUGUUUUUCAUGAUCCGAUCUCAUUUGUAACUUCCCUAUCUUUCUAAGUGCUGAAAUUGCCUUAGUGAAGGAUGAUGUAACUUCUAAGUAAUGAUACUUCAGUUCUUUGUGUCACAUCAGUUAAUGAAUUGUUACCUCAGUUUUUCAAUAUAUUAUUAGUCCGAUCUUUUUUUAUCGACUGGUUAUUGGUAAGUGGUGCUUAAUAUUUGCUUAAGUGCUUAUCAUUCAUUCACUCAGGUAUAGACAAUUCAACACAAAGAAAAGAAAGAUGCAAUAAUACUUAAAAGAAAAAUUUUCAUUCCAUUCAUUUCAAACUGAGUUAUAAAAGGAAGGUUGAAGCCAUUACAAAAGUAGCCCUAUUCUACUGGGGGAGACAUCUUCCGUCCCAGGCUCCCGUUCAACUUCCUCUGGGGCCUCUGGAGCUUCCUCGGCAGCCGUGUCAGGCCAACCUCCAGUAGGCCCACGGAACUCUGCCUCCAAAGUGGAUAUGUCCAAAGUCGGGUGGACCUCCUUCAGUCAACCCAACAGUCCUUGGGCACUCCAAGAGGCCCAGUAGUUGGCGAAGUCAUCGUACAGGGGUGCACCUCGAAAUGAUCAAUGAAGUUCUGCACAGCCACCUCCCCUGCCGACUUCAACUCCCUCUUCAAUGGAGCAAUCUCUUUAGCCUGGGCCUUCGCCCGCUGCUUCAGCUCAGCCUUUUCCUUGUUGGAGGCCUCCAGAGCUAAAGUAGCCAGGCGAUGGUGCUCGUUGGCGUGAUCAAUUCGCCUCGUCAGAGCAGCCACCUGGCACUCACUUUCGUACAGCUCUUUCUUCAGCCUCUCAACAUCAGCAUUAGCCCUCAUCAGCUGGCCUUCUGCCUCCUGCAUCACCGACUCCGCCUCAGAGGCCUUCUCCCAAGUGUCCUGGACUUCAUCUCCAUAUUGUAUCACCUUCUCGAGGCGCUUCGCCAGGUCAGUGUUUUUGGCCCUCGAUCUUUGAUUAGACCCUCCAACUGAACACUUGUGCUGAGGGCCCUGGUUAUGCAUACACUACUGCCCGCCACGAGAUCUUCAACAGUGCAUUAGGCAGUGUGGUCCUUCCACUCCUCAGUCCAGUACUUUUUAUGGACCGCUGCCACCACUGCCAUCUCGGGAGGUAGAGCCUCUAGCACUUCUUUCACAGGCACCUCAGUGUUCAUGCCCAAAAAGUCUACCUCGUUUGUAGGGCAGACCCUUUUUUUCCUCGGCUGCCCAGGCACUUGAGAUAUUGGAACGGCUGAAAGUGGAGCUUCAGCCGGGGCAACAGAGGUGGCAAGGACAGCCACGGAGGGUUCAACAACCUUCUCCCUUAGGGCCACCCCGGUUGGAAUUGUUGUUUGCCUCAGGGCUGGGGUUGGCCUCGCCAUGGUGGGCCCCUUUGAAGAGUCUGCAGCCUUCUUGCCCUUCUUUAGUAGAUUCGCUUCAGGGUCUUCUUCGACCUCAUCCGCCAGAGGUUGAAGCCUCUUACUGGCAUCAACCAAAUCCUCCAUCUGCUUCUUGUAGGCAGAUGAUGAGGUCUUCAAGGCUCUCGUCUCGGCCAUCAUCUUCUGAAUUAUCUUGAAAUCGGGCCUCAAAGACAUCUUCUUGUUGAAGUUAUCUGUAAGGAAACAAGCAAAUUAUUACAAGUAUGAAGAGGUCAGAAAACCCACACGACAUGGCCACUUCGUAAAUCUACCUUGGAAAGCCAUCAGAUUGUGUGUUACGAAAUGAAUAUUCUUCUUGAUCAACUCGUGGUAUGACCUCUUCUUCGAGGGCAGCUGGUAGACGAUGCAGAUUAUGUCAAAGUCGUCGAUGGAUAUCUCACACCGAGGAAGGGUACCUUCAAAAAGUAAAUAAAGAGCAGUUACGAUCUGAACCGAACAAGAAUAAACAAAAAUACAAAGCAACAGUACUCACUAAGUGUGGAAUACUUCGUGGGGACCGUAAGAGGGCCCAGAGGGUCUCCCUCCAUUGUGUCCCAUCUCCCGGCAACCCAGCACCACGAGCUCUUCCAUUCUUUAAUAGAGCUCAACAGAUCGAGCGCGAAUAGAGUAUGGGAACCCCAUGAAGUCAAAUAAUGCCACCCCCUAGUCUUGUCCCCCCAGCUGCUACCUUAGGGAUGUAUAGGGUCUGAAAAAUCGAGAAGGGCAUCUCCACCCUGAGCGAUGCUUCCUUAACAUCUAGGACCCACCAUUUGGCUCAAGGAGUUCGGGUUCAGCUAGGUCGGGGGCUAACCCAUACGACCUUAGCACUAGCCUAAAGAAGGGAUGAGAGGGAGCCUAAGUCCAGCCCUAAAAAGUGCCUCACUCACGACCACACACCCCGGCCUAGGAUAACAAGCCCUCUCAUCAGACUCCGAUAAUAUCAAUUCUACACUACCAGGUAUCCUAUAUUCAGCCCUAAGUCUACCCAGAUCGGCCUCCUUCAAUUUUGACGGGUAAUCUGAAGCCCCCCAGUGUUCUAAUGUAUCUACCGGGCUGUCAGGCCUUCUCCAGAUAUUUUCCCCCAAUAUCGCCUCGGUAACCUCAAUGGGCGUCGCCAAAAUACCACCCUCACCAUCUCUAAAUCCUUUCUCGAAGCCCCACUACCAUCCGAAGCCAUUGCAGAAUAGAGAAAUGUGAAAAAAACUUGGGAAAAUACUUAUUGAAACUCAAGAAACUGGGGGACCUACGACCAGAAAAGAUUAACAUACAAUGUGAUAUUGUCGAAAACAAGAAAUGUCGUCGAAAAAUGCUUAUACAAUGUCAGAAAACGCAAGAAUCUUGAGAGGAAAUGGAUUUUCUGAUUUCGGAAAAGUGAAAAACUCCCAAAAUUCUCAAGUUUGCCUUUUAUAGAGCGUCCUAACCGAUCUCCACUGUUGAAUUCAAAUGCAAUCAAUCUAGACCGUCCAUCACAUCAUAAAUCUGAGCCGUUGAUAUGAAACGCCAGAUUUGAUCUACGCCCAAGAUCUAGCUGUGACCCUCACACUCCCAUAAAACACGUUGCCUCAAUCACCAUCAGCCGUCUACAAUAAGUAGCCGUAGCAGCCUUUUCUGGGAAUGGGCAUCACACCCAACUGUCACCUUGGAAAUAUGCGACAGCUGUCAAAUCGUUUGACGUCAGAAAUGUUCGCCUCAGAUUGAAAUCCUCAGCUUUACAAAGCUUAGACGUACUUAACGCGAAGUCCCCUGUGGGUCAUCGAUUCGGUGGCUGCAUUCCCUCCUAAGUUUUACAAAGUUUUAGCCAUCUCCCAACGCGUCGUCCCCUGUGGGUCAGCGCACCGGUGGCAGAUGAGCUCCUCACUCAACUUUACAAAGUUUAGACAUACUUGACGCAGAAUCUCCUGUGGAUCAUCGCCUCAGUAGCUGCGUUCCGUCCUAAGCUUUACAAAGCUUUAGUCAUCUCCCGCAUUGAUCGAGGAUGAGCUCCUCACUAAGCUUAACAAAGUUUAGACGCACCUGAUGCGGAGUCCCAUGUGGGUCAUCGUCUCGGUGGCUGCGUUCUCUCCUAAGCUUUACAAAGCUUUAGCCAUCUCCCAACGCGUCGUCCCUGUGGGUCAGCGCACCGAUGGUAGAUGAGCUCUCCACUCAGCUUACAAAGCUUAGACACUCCUGACCCGGAGUCCCCUGUGUGUCAUCGCUUUGGUGGAUGCGUUCCCUCCUAAGCUUACAAAGCUUUAGCCGUCUCCCAACGUGUAGUCGCUGUGGGUCAGUGCAUCGAUGGCAGAUGAGCUCCUUCCUUAGGCAGCACUAAAGCUUUAGUGCCUCAGUCGAAGAUGUGUCCCGACCUUCAGCUUCACAAGCUUCAGCAUUUCCCACGCAUCGUCUCUGUAGGUCAGCACCUCGGUUAGAGACGUAUCCCAAUCCUAAGCUUCACAAGGCUUUGGCCUUUUCCCAACGCAUCGUCUCCUAAAGCCAGCGCCUCGGGAGAAGAUGAGCACCUACCCACAUCUCUUCGGUGAACACAAAAAACUGAUCCACAAGCUUUCGGGCCAUCUAUACACUUCGUCCUUCCACACCAGUUCUCUAUCACAAACCAAGGCAGGCAUACUCGAUCGGGAAAACAAGUCCACCCAUGAUAUAAAUAUUCAUGCCUGAACUUGGGGGACCACUGUUACGCUCCUAUCUGAACACCUUCGGAAAGUCUACCACUGCAUCAUACGAGGUGUCCACCACCAAUCCGAAGUGGUUCCGAAGUGACUCCACCACCAAUGUUCACGCGCUGCGAGGCACAAAAUAAUUCUACUGGACCGAUCGAAGUGUCCUUGACGUCGAAGCUUACUGCACUUCGAGGUUCUCCUUUAGCGGAUCCACCGCCACUUUUAGAAAGAGAUCUGUGUCACAUCCUCUCUGCCCCCAAGGCUUAAUUGAUUUGACGUCUCCAUGAGUCUAGUUGAUGUGACGUAUCAACUUUAUGUCAACUCAACUCAGGAAAAGUUAUUACCCGCCCACUCUAUAGACGCGGCGGAUUGACGCUUAUGAGCAGACGUCUCACACCGUCAGAUGCAUACACGUGUCCCACAUCCAACGGUUCUCCUUACCUAUAAAUACCCAAGGUUUGACAAGAGGCAAAGAAAAUGAAACCCUUACAACUUAGCUCUCCAUAACAAGAAAAUAUAUAUUCUCCUCUCCACUCUCUUGUACAACUCGGGCACUGUUCCGAUCACCGGAUACUAACUUGACUGUCGGAGUAUAUGCGAUCGCCACCACCCCGCUGGUUCCGACUGCGUGCGUCUGACCGUACGUUGAUUGUGCGCAGGGAGGAUCACGUGGAGUAACUAUCGAUUGGCCACGUGAGAGGUCCAAUUUGCGAGGUCAACAUUAUUAAAGCAAACCGAGUUAAUCAAAGUUUCCUUAUAUAUAGAGAGAGGUGUAAAGCAUAUUAGAGGUGUAAUCGCAUUAUAAGAACUCAAACAAACUCCCCAUUUUGACCUUGUUUAUAGUGUGUCCUCGUGUAUGUCUUGACAUUUCAUCGUGUAAAGACAUUUGAAAUGUCGUUAUCGAUGUUUGUAAACCAAAUAACUCGACAGUUGAUGUGCAUGUAUGAAUUCUUGAGAUUACAUUUUGUAUCCUAGAGUUCUAUACAUUUCAGACCUCUACACAAAAAAAAUAAUAAUAAUAAAAACAAACGAAUUAAACAAGAGAAAGUUACAAAAUUAAAUAAAGAAUAAAUAAAUAUUAUUUAAUUAAAAUUAAAAUAAUUAAAUUUUAUCAUAAAGAUAAAAGAUUUAAAAAUAAUUUUGAUUCAAAAUAAAUUAAAAAAAAUAGAGGAGAAAAAAUCUUUCUCCAUAACAGUCUCCAAUAUGGAGAGAAAGUCUCUAUAUUAUGGAGAAAUUGAGAUUUAUGGACAGGUUUCUCUCCAUCAUUUUGUUCCUUUUUUUAUAUAUUUAUUUUUGUUUAUAUGGAAAAUAUUUUUCUUUAUUUAUAAUUUUUGAAUUUAUUUUCUCUUAAUGCUAAAAUUUAUUUUUUUCAAUUUUAAUUAAAUAUUUUGUAUAUGUUCUUUAUUUAAUAUUUAAUAUUUGUAACUUUUUUGUUUAAUUUAUGAUUUUUUUUUGAAAAUUACUAUGUAACCCAUUUUUCCUUCAUAUUAUAAAUAACUUUUAGUUCGAUUAAAAAAUCUUUUUAAUUUUUUUCGUUUUGUAAGAUAAAUAAAACUAUUUUAGUUCAAACUUUAUCAAUUUUUAUAAUUUCUAUUGAAGUUUUUAUGUAUAAAAUUUUACAUUGACAAAAAAAAAGGUUUGACAAAUUUCUUUAAUUCAUUAAAGCUAAUCGAGUUAAUCAAUUUUUCUUUGCAUCUCAUUUUUUUAUGUUCGAGUAGGAUAAUGAAAGAAAGAAUUAAUCCUUUGUUGUCAUAGGUAAGAGUUUCAAAAUAAAUUUAUUUUUUCUUUUAAUUCUUUAAUUUAUUUUCACAUACAUAAUCACACACAAUCACACAUAUGUUUACAUAUUAUUGAAACUAAUUGAAUGAACAGUACCGAAUAUUUAUGAUUUACAAGAAUACGUGUGCCGUUAACAUUUAUAUUGAAACAAUAUGUUUUUUGAUAUUUCAUUCAUUUCUUGACAUUUGAAGUGUAGUUCUCGACAUUAAAUGUCUACCAAUCUGGACACUUGUCAUUACAUUUGUAUAGAACGACAUUUCAACUAAAGUAUAUUAUUUCUCCACAUUUCAUUAGAACAUUGACAUUUGACGUGUUCAGGAUAUGAUUUGCCCGCAUUUCUCAACACUUGAUAUUUCGUUUGUGUAGAAUGAAAAUUUGACUAUGAGAAGAACAAAAUACAGCAAUGAACACAGUACAUGGCAACUGUUUGUGAAAUCUAAUCAACUGACACAUAAUUGUUACAAUGCAUACCGGUAAAACAUUUACUCUCUAUACCAACAUAUGAAUCUUCAUCAAGAAUAUUUACAAACUAUGGACAACCAUGUGGAAAAUGAUUACUACAUCACAAUAGGUAAGGCAACGCAAUGAGAACGAAGAUGCGAAGACGUAAAAUAGCAAUCGAAGUCAUUAUAACCAAAUGCAGUCUAUAAUAUUUUUUGACUAAAAAAACAAAUGUUCUGGACAACGCCAAUUAGUCUGAAUAUUUACCAAUGCAUAAUACAAGUCCACUAUAGGAAAUAAUAAAGUUAUAAACCGUUUUCAACAUACGACCCUCCGAACAUGCCACUAACAUAUAAACCACAAGUUUGCAUCCACAAAAUGUCGGACAGCCAGUCCGUACCAUGAACAAAAAUAUGAGAAUUGCAGUGUAUACACCCUUCUUACCUCUCUUGUGAUCGGAUCAUGUGAAUGGUGUCUUGGUGUUUGCACUAGGCAUCUUUAGUCUCAACGAUCGAGGUCUACAUAGGGGGAGAUAAGCAAUCUUCGAUGGUUCAACACGGAUGGCAUCAUCAAUUGGCGAAGCAUCGAUGGAGACAGUAGCUGUAGGUACAGUGUUUGUAGUCUCUAUUACACUAUCUGGAGCAAUAUCAACUGACCUCUCGAAUCUAACCCCAACCGUCGACAUUCUGAACACAUCAUUGGUCUGGCAACCAACUGCUUUGGUUACACAUCUUGGAUGCCCUGUGUCCACUUCUGUAUGUGGCGUGAAAUUGUGAUCGUAACUAUCAUGGUGGGGCACAUCUCCACCGCCAUUGUCCUGAAAUCUACCAUACUCAUCGACGACAUUGUGUCCCCCAAUGGUAGUAGCCACUUCAUCAAGCCUACGUCGGAUCACAUUGACCUCAUCAAUCACAUGCUGCCUCAAACCGUGCACAUAAGUCCCCAUAUCAUUUUCCAAACUAGCAAAUCUCACAUUCAUUCCUCCCUCAACUUGUCCAACCUGCACUCAAAGGCCUCUCUUUGCUCGUUCAAAAGAGAUUUGAUCUCAUCCGAAGGCACGGGCCUUAUAAGUGCUCGAUGGCACCCGAUAGAAGAAGAUGGACGGUCGACGAUCGGGUCGCCAUGGUCUUCAUCUCUACCUUCAACGGGAUGUAAAUCUCAAAGACGAACUCUGUGUUGCCUCUCCAAGACUUUUUUCGUUAAUUGUUGUUCACACUAUGCAUAACUUCACAUUCUGGUGGGCAAUCCUGUAUUUUUGUUGACUAAGCAACGGGCUGUCCAGAGCUUGGUCUGCUUUGUCUGAUAAAGCAACCAAACCAGCAAUAUAUGACUGCAAUUCUUCUACAGCAGUAGCGCGCAGCGUUGCCCAUAAGUGUACCUAUAAGGGAAAGAAAAAAUCGUCAAAAUGAAAUAUUAGUCAUUCUGAAAUUAUAAUAGAAAUUUUAUAUGCAAGAUGCUCACAUGUGUUUUCUCGAAGAAGUCUAAAUAUGUUCUGGACUGAGGUUGUCUUGUGACAGUCCAUCACAACAUCCUCGAAAUAUCGUCACCCGUCUUUGUCGCGAAUUGAGCUCCCAGCUCCGAGAUAACCUCGUACACUCACAACUUCAUGACGAACAGAGUGAAAGUUACUAUAUACAGAGAGAUAUAACAUGGAACGGGGAAAAUGAAAUGAAAAUAUGGAACAUGUAUACCUAAACAAUAAGAGAAAAAUCGUACAACGUGUAAGACAUUCUAUCACAGUAGAAGACCUUUGCUAAGUCUGCCUUUCUCCCCCAUUCACGAAGAAGUGAUUUGACAAGAAGAAGUUUGAAACACACUGUCCCCCAUGGGUAGGUAUUGAAGAAAUCCAAGUCAUCCACAAUGGAAAGAGUUUCAGGAUGUAUCACCAUAUUUCGGUCUCUGCAAUUAAAGACCCCUUCAAUAAUCAGUGCCAACGCAAGUUUGUAACGAUCAUUACGUUGGGUACAUUUCAGGAAAACAUUCUCCAAGUCAGUACACGUUACCUAGUCUCUACAGGUAAACAGUUUGUUCCACAGUCGGGUUUUUCCUACGUGUUGUCCAAAUUAUCACCUUUUGGUACUUCACCACACUUCAACCCAAUGAUUAAUGCAAACUUUGGCAGUCCAAAUCAUGCAAACCUUUGGUUCACCUUAAACCAAACCUCGAAACUUUUGCUAGAAAACACCGAUCUAUUCACCAUUUUGUGAAUUAAUUACCCAGACAGUUUCAGCUCCGACAACUUGGCAACAUGUCCUAUGCAACUUUCCUUGAACGUGCGCUUUUUUUGUGCAUCGAGUUUGUCGAGGACAACUGUUAUGUAUUUCAUGUUGCUAACUUGUGAAACCUACGUCGGGACGAUCUCUUCCUCCGGUACUUUGAAUGGGUGUGAAGAAGUCAUCUAUAUAUAGCAAAAAACACAUAAAAAAGUAUUAGGAGAAUGUCAGAACAAAAAAAAAAUCUAAGAAACGAUAACAGGAAAAAAAUAAAAAUCAAGUAACCAUUGAAAAUGCUUGCUAUAUAUUCGAAUAGAUACCCAUAAAGAAUAGUGUGCAAGGUACUCAUAAAGCAUAGUAUACAAAUUCAACGGAAUACAAUACAUUAAAAUUAAAACGACCUUCGAAAUGAUGACUAAGAUCUAUGGAUACAUUAGCAUCUAAUGCGUGAUCACAAAGUUCAAUUUCAAAUUCAGUUUUCUUUUAAAGAUAGUAUGAAAAUGUUUGUAGACGUAUGCUUUAUUCAUGUGUAUGUGUGUAACACAAGAAAGUAAGUAGUAAUGUUUACAACUCAUUUAUUUUCCACGCAUUUAGCCUUCAACUUGAAAAGAAUGAUACGAUGGCAAUUCUCAUGUAUCCGAAAUCAACUAUUCAUCGUGCACAAACUAAUCUACACAUUAAUGGUACAACUGCAUCAUAAAACUAUGAAUCCCCUCUUGUACAGAACAAUGUUAUUCACUUAUCACUUGGUGUGAUGGUUUAAAACCCAACUACAAAGAAGUCUUGUGAGAAGAGAAAUUAAUUCGUCCGUUAAAUAAUCUAUGCAUAUCUAUAUGACUUGAGGUUAAUGGCUUUGAAUUGGAGUCAUGUACAGGCAGCUCAUAUAAUAUACUUUACACACAUAUUUGGAGGCAUCCAAGAAUAUAUUACACAUACACGCCUACGAAAAAUGAGGGGGCAGCCAAUAUUUCACAUUUUUACACACUCAUUGGAGGCUGGAAAAUGAGGAUUACACGUAUACGUAAGAGAGUCCCCUUGACAGUAAAACAUUGGCCGUCAUUAUUUUAUAUUGAUAUGCACGCAUAAACAGAGCAAAAUAAGAAGAAAACGAAGGCUGUUGCUGUCGGUAGCUGUUCGGGGAGAAACAUAGAGCCAAUAGACACGCCAAGAAUUGCCGGCUACCUUUAUUAUCUAUACAUAUACAUAGAAAAUCGAAGCACUGGAGGAGAUAUGUAUACGUGCACAAGAGAAAGUUUUUGGGCUACAUACAUGCACAGGAAAUUAAAUUUAUACACCAAAUUUUGAGCUAAUUAAUUAACAUAUACACAUAUAUAAAAUAUAAUAACGAGAAGUCUACUAAACUCUAACUAAAAUCUACAACCAUCAAAAAUUAAAUACAACAUUGUAAAAUCAAAUCAGAUGAAAUACACAUUAAAAUUACAACAGUAAACAAUAAAAAAAAAAAAAGAAAAAAAAAUAUGUAUCUAUAUAAAGUUAUCUUAUUGAAGGCAACUAAGGAAGACGUAAGCAAUUAGGGGAUGAACGGGAAGGUUAAAGGUGUGGCAACUCUUCACAGCGGCUCUUCACUUCCAAUUAAAUCAGUAAAUUGUAGCCUUUUAUUUCUGGGCUUCUAAGUUGAGAAGGAGGAUUUCACAUUUAAAUGAAAAUUGAAUGAAGAACGGGCAUAGAGUUUUAUGUUUUCACUUGACCCAUUUUUCAAUUCUAAUAAACCGGCAGACUUAUUUAAUGUGAUUGACAUUUGUACUUUUUGAAACAAGUAGCAUAGGUUAUAUGUCCUAAUUUUAUUGGCAACACAAUUUUUAAUGAUGGGACACAAUUUGAAUACAACUUUGAAAUUAAAAAUUUCAGGCAGGGAUAUUCUUGUCCAAAUAAUUGGAAAAUAGACAUUGGGAAAACUUUGGACAUUUUUGCAAAUGCCCACAUAAAAAUGGACAUUUCAGGCAAUUUUCUCAAAAAAUAAUAAUAAUUUUUCCCUAAGACUGUAAAAAUUCAGCACCCUUUGUUUUCAUGGGUUAAAUGAGUCGAGUCGAGCGGACUCUUACUGUUGAGAUGGGUUCAACCCACAUUUACUCACAAUUACCACCCACAGUUAAUCUAAACGCGAUUCUGGUCAAGUAUGUCUAUCCUUGGUGGGCUGGGCUUUCACAAGUUAUGGAAUUGACUUUGGACUACGGCAGGGUUUUUUCUUUACCAAAUUGAUAAGCCUCCGUUUAUUUUAAAUAAGAUUUUGAAAUCUCCCUUGAAGUUUAUUUUUGAUAACAUAUUUCCCCUGACAGUUAAAAUAAAUAUUCUCCAUUUUACCCCUCAAAACCAUUGUCUCUUUGUGAAAUUAAUGAAAAUAUUUAUGUAGAAUAAAUUGAUCAUGCUAGUGUAAUGAUUUGGAAACUUAUAUUUUUGUUGUAUGCCAAAUGGUUCAACGUAUUCUAAUGUUAUUGAUCCACUUGCAUUUCUCUAUAAUCUUUGUCAUUACUCAUUAUCACGUCUUAUCUUCUUUAUUUAAAAAUAAUAAUAAUAAUUUGAAUAGGAUAAGGGCUCAUUUCGCUUGACUUUUGAGAAGUCAAAAUGAGUUUUUAAAAGAGUAAUAUUAUCUAGUCACACUGGGAUUACAAUUCUACUCUAUGUGGCUCUAAUGUGGUAUUAAAUGACUUAUUUAAUUUUAUAUUUCAUUUAACUUAUCAUUUAGCACUACCUAAAUUAGGGUUACAGUUACAGUGAUGCUAUAUGACACUACUCUUUUCAAAAUUCAAAAGUUAUUCUCUUAAUUUAUCCGAAAUAGGUCUCCUUCCACGUGAGGGGAAUGGACACGAUAUAAAAGCACUUCUUUUAGUUAGAAGAACUUUUAGAGAAUUGAACUAAUGUAGCUUCCUCUAAAAGGUUUUUUGAUAGUAAAAGUUUUUUUAGAAAUUAAUUUUCAAAUACUAAUUAAAUUAGAUUUUUAAAGAAACUUUUUCUACAAAAGGGAAAAAUAAAAAUAUCUGGAAAAGGGACCCCAAGGCCCAAGCUACUAACUUUUAUUGUCACAUACAACAAAUAUUACAAGUACGGUAGGACAACAACUCGAUGCAAGUAGGACUAUUAGCUCAAUUUCCCGGUGCUUAAAGGUAGCUUAAACUAAGAGCCUGUUUGGGAGUGAUUUUGAAAAUUGAUUUUUUGAUCGUUAGAAGAGAAGUGGGGUCCACUUCCGAGAAAAGAAGUUAAAUAUUACAAUUGAAAUAGUGAAAUAACGAUCGAAAAAUCAAUUUUUUGGGAGAAAAAUCACUUCCAAACUGGCUCUAAAAUAUACUUUUUAAAAAGCACUUAUAAUCCUUCAGUGAAAGCCACUCCGGUGGAACUCAGCCACUCUCCGCCUUGUAUCAUCUCUUUCACAGUAAAUUUCAUUGCUUCAGAAGGGUCAGUAAUCACAUGAUACCCCGGCCAAUUCACUCUCUUGCUAGUCCCUGCACCUGCUCCUCCAUUAAUAUACUCCCCAUAAUACAAAGUUUUCAAAGCAAAAUCUCCAUUCCAUUCAGCCCAACCUGUCGGAUCAAUAUGAUCUGCAAUGUUCGAUUGCAUCAAGACAGUUCUCGAGUACUCCUUCCACGGACGACCAAGAUACGUCGGGAAAGAACUUUUCACUGGCUCUAGAUCUGCACUUGGUAUGAUUUCACAAUUCUGGAUUGAUGUCCCAGUGUUCUGAUUCGGGUCGAUCCGGCCCUGGGCAGUUACCAUGUUCUUUUGGCUUUUCAUGGGUUUACGAGCCACGAGUUUGCAGUUUUGGAAAACUACUGCUGCAUUGCCAAAGAUGAAAUCUACUGUUCCUGUGAUGUAGGAAUCUCUGUAGAAUUGUCUUAGAGAAUGUGCGUAUAGUGUGUCUUGGUAGGCGUCAAUUUUGCAUCGAUUUAUGACGGAUUGAUCUGCGCCGACGCGAAGCGCCACGGCCUGAUGCUUUUCUGGUCCGGCUGUGUUUUUGAUGCAGAUGUCUUGUAAAAUGAAUCCCUCACCGACGGCGGCUGUACAAGUUGCAUUGACUGGUGGUUAAUUCAAGACAAAAUUACAAAAUUCUGAAUUGAAAGGUAAAUUAUGUAUUUGACACAAGCGAUCUAUAAUAUUGUCCUUAUCGAGAUCUAUAUAAACAUUCAUUUGCAAUACUGUUGGAUACUAGCAAUGUCCAAUAAUGUCAUGUGGACAGUAUUAUCGGCGAUGAAAGUUGAAAGAGGUUUUUGGGUAAUAUGACACAAAUUAACAGGGUUGGCGGUUAUCGAUAAGUUCUCCAUAAUCGGCGGCGAUUAACGAUCGAAACACCAUCAAUGAUUGUUGACAAUGUCAUAACAAUAUUGUCGUUGAUAAUCAUUGACAGAUGUUCAUUGGUAGCUAUUGAAAUUAACGUCGUCAGUGAUCACCAACGAAAUCUUCAUCAAUGAUUCUUUAAUCUACUCAAUUUUUUACUAUCACUAUUCUCAAACUUUUUAACCAAUUUUAUCGAAGGUACUCACCAAGAGUGGCAGAUUUGAAGGUUGUGGAACCAUUAACAACAUUAAGGCUACCAGUAAUAAUGGUAGUUUCCAUUCCAUCACCAACAAUCAUCAGCUUCUUUUUCUUCUUUCCCACUUCUACAUUCUCCUCAUAUGUUCCCUUCUUAACAUAUAUCACAUACCUCUUCUUGCUCUUGUCCGGGAUUGCGGCAACAGCGUCCGCCACCUUCGUGUAGUUCCCCGUACCGUCUUUAGCCACAAUUAGAUCAGCCUUAAUAUCCUUGGCUGAACUCUGCAACAGUUUCCUAUCUCCCGGUGUAAUCCAUGAUGGCAGCAGCCCUCGGGACAACAUUUCCCCGUCGGAUUCGAACACUGAUAUUGCCAAAGCUGCUCUGGCUCUGGAUAUCAAAUCUUCAAGAAUUGCUCCAAUCGACGUUUUGCCUGAAGCUUUAAGACCAUCUAGACAGGUGACAUGAUUGGUAAGAACCCCACUAAGCCAUGUUUGUGCAUUGGAACGCGAUAGUCUUGUUCGAUUCUCCAAAGCCACCAUAGAAUCUUUCACUUGAUCAAUUGACAGAUCCAUCAGCUCCAAGCAAUCAGCUAGAGCCCUCUGCUCAUGUUCAUCAUUGAUCUGAUUCCUAAGUUUUCUACUAACUGCAACUGCAUUAUCCAUAUGAUGAGCAUACUUCAUCAAGAAUUGUUGCAGUAUAUCGUUGCUCUCAAUUGGUUUUUCUCCUUUUUCUCUGUUGGAGACUACUUCAUGUACAAGAUUUUCACAUUUCUCGGGAUCAAAGGCUGUCCUGCACAUGUGUGAAAGAUCAUUUUGGCUUGUUUUAAUCAAAUUUGGGACAAGAAAAACAGCUGAAAAAAUUACAACAAAUGUUGCAAUAACAGAGUAGAUGAGGAUUUUGCAGCCAACUGAGGUUUUCUUUGGAGUGUAAAGGAGAGGUUGGUUUGUAGAAGAAGCCAUUUUUCUAUAUUCUUUCUUCUUUGCACCACAUCUUAAAGCAUAUUUUAUAGAGAAAAUUGUGAAUAUUUGAGUAAAACGCGCAAUGAUUUACUCAGCCACUUUGGCAAUGUGCCAUUGUCGGUCCCCCAUAUAUAAUCAGAAAAAGAUAUUUUGUACUGACGAACAUUUAUUCAUACUUAAUAGGAAAAAGAAAAUAAUGGAUUUUUUUUCUUUUUCUUUUUCUUUUUUUUUUUAAAUAAAUGCCCCAUUUUAAAAGGUUGAACCCCAACCUUAAGGGUCUCCCACGACCUCUGCCCUAGAGUAUCGUGAGGUAGGUAAAUUGCAGGUUAUGCUUCCAAGGGUAUAGGGUGGAAGGCUGCUUGUACACUUACACUUACCCAAGAGCCAAAUCCAUAUUUCAAGAUUCGAAUCCUUGACGAAACAACCUCAAGUAAAGUUGGAUUUCUCCACCCUCCCCUUUUACCACUUGGAGAUGUGUCCUGGGGCAAUAAAUACCCCAUUUUCAUUGAUAUAUUGGGGGCGUAUUGCAUCAGGUCAUCUCAAGAACGAGACUCAACAGUAGUAAUAUACGUGCAGUAUAAUAUUUCUAAUAUGUUGGAUUGCUUAGUAUAAUAUUACACAAAAUAAGUAAUUUAAAAUUAUAUGCGAGUAAUUCCAAUGGUGGGGUACGUGUAAAUUAAUAAAAUAUUUACUCGGAAUAAAUUACAAAAUGCGCAGAGCAAAAGGAUCAGAUGGUGCUUGUGCAAUAAUUUUGACCCUAUAAAUGUGAUAGGUAAAGGGUAUACAAAAGUGCUAAAGUGAUAAUGUUAGGAUAAUAUAAAAUUCAAAAAAGUAGGUGGAAAUUUAGGAAAAGCUUUUUGAAUUUCAGCCACACACUUUCGAUUUGAAAUUUUGCAGGUGAAUUCACAUGGACAUCGUUUUCAAUGUAUUAAAAUUAAACAAACUAAUUAAUAAAGAUUGAACUUUUGAUACGAUGCUACAAAAGAUUUGUGAAUCGGUGCUAAUAGUGAGUUCGGUCAUUUGGGAGGGAGGUCGAUUCCAGGGACGUUCAUGAGAAUUUAAAGUCCUAGGCGUUUAAAUAUUAUGGAGCCCGCAGUACAAAAUUUAUUUUACAAGUCUAAUGAGAGAACUGGAGCGUAAAUUCUCUCAAAUAAUACCCAUAAAUUAUUUCAAAUUACCAUUAGCCGAAAAGGUAACCCAAAUAGAAGAUUCCAUAAACCUUCACCCAAUGGCCACCACUAGUUUACGUGUUACAAUAUCAAUAAGGGCCUCCAAUAAUAAAGAUGCAUUUCAGUUUUAACAAAAUACGCCUUCUCCAAUUUUGGUAGCACACAACACAUGCAUGGACUUCUCAACAACGAUUAUGAGGAAGGGUUUCCAUUUAUUUGAAAUGUAUAUAUAUUGUGCUCAUUAAUUUCAUAAAGCAACUGUGCUCCAAUAUUAUGAAAUAAGACAUUGGGAUGAAAUCAAUAACAGGAUUUACAUCAAGAAUGUUUAAUCAUAAAAAAUAUUAUUUAACAUGAUUAGCAUAAAAACUAUCAUUUAUGAGGCAGUAAUCCGAAAUAAUACCGUAAAAGAAUUGGCUGAAUUGUCAAUUGUGAUAGAGUAAAAGUGAAUCACAGAAUUAGUAAUCUAUACUCUCAAUGAAAUGGAAACAGGAAACUAUCAUAAGCAAUAUGUCCAAAUAAAUAAUCCCAUUAUAAAUCCCUAAAAAAAAUUGAAUUUACUCUCCUUUAAAAUCAAUAAAAUCACAAUUCAUAUAAUGGAUGGAGAAAGGCCCAACCUGCGGAUUUAGCACUUGAGGAUUUCGCCCAACCUGAAGAUUAAUUCUGCCUCUUGGAUGACUAGAUUGGAGUGUCAUCUACGGAGAAGACGAUUGUCGAUUGGAAUGGAUGGACUCAUGGAGAAAGGCGGUCCGUUCAUUUUACUCUUUUAUGUGCAAAUUUUUAUUUUUAUUAUUAUUAUUAUUUUUUUAAUAGUUGGCAGUUUUGAGGUUUUUUAGAGGCCCCCUAAAAUAUGAGGCCCAAGGCACUGGCCUCACUUGCCUUGAGCUAGGGCCGACUCUGAUCGAUUCUGUUUUGACAAUCAAAUUUGUUACUACUCGUGCUAUAAAGUUUUUGAGAGAAUUUUAUCACUUGGAAUAACCAUGGGUGCCUUCUUAUCGCACCUUCUCAAAUUUAGUGGUGAUCAUAUGUUCUCUUUUGUGAGGUUGACUCGAACAAGUUUAUGACGUCUCAAAAGUCAUCGACAAAAUCAGGUCAUAUUUGAUGGUCUCGAGUUCCAGCUCACCCAGAUAAGGCAUUAACCCAAUGUCAUGACCUCGUUUAACUGCACUUUUGACAUCGUUCUCCCACCUUUUUGUUCGUCUUUUGUUAUACACCCCCAAACAAUUGGUUCGAAUCUCCUUAAAAUCCAAAGAAAUAAACUAAUUGUACAAUGAUUGUGUCCAAUUAAUUUGACAAAUGCAUGUGAAUUGGAACAUGAAUAUCAUUUUUAUGGACCUCAUUUAGUUCAUCAAUCAUACAUUAGUACUUAAAUAUCACUACUAUACAAAGACACAAGCAUUAACAGAAAACCAUACCAAUCACGUUUAGCCAAAGAACUGUUUAUAUAGCAAACAAUAACAUGUACCAUGCACUCGUGCUUGUAUGACAGAUGUCUCAGCAAGAAGAUAGUGGAAAAUAGUACGAGGGUGAUCGAGCCAUCUUACAUAACGCACAACCAUCCCAUUUAUAGCAAUGGGAUUUACAAGAAGCACUAGUACAGACCAAUGUUAACGUUUGAAGAUAAUCCACACGGUUCAUAAUAGCUUGCACUGCAUAAAAUUUGAACUGACAGGCUCGUGUACUUCCAUAUUGUGACAAUCAUAUGAUAUAUUGCAUAUUCCUAGAAAAUAUACAAACACUAGGUAAAUCAACCAGCCAACAGCAUCUUCAUGGGAAACCCACAUAUCAUAUGAACAACAGAUUACUAGAUUGCACUAAACUAAUUGGAGAAAAAAGGCACUGAACCAACCAACCCCAUCUUCGAUUUUUCAUUGAAAACCCACAUAUCAUAUGAACAACAGAUUGCACUAAACUUAUUGGAGAAAACACGCACUGACCAAAUUGUCAUUAUUUAGCAUAGCCAUUAACACAGACAAACAUCCUAUUAAGAUAACACGACAGUACUAGAACAAAGAUAUACUGGAAAUGAAGUGUGUAUAGAUCACACAAGCACGAGAAUACAGCAAUGCUAUUUCAAAAUAAGUUUGCAUAAUAUGUUCUGCACUGAAACGAUUUGAUGUCCACUGAGCAGAAACAGAUGACACGGCUCAAAAACCAUGAAUUUUGAUAUGCUCCUUUUUCACGAUCCCAGCCUGAACAAGAAAGGAUGAGACAUUCUUCCGCUGAUCGCCUUGAAGUUGAAUAACCUGGCCUAGUUCGGGGUCCUGAACAACAGUACCAUUGCAGCAAAACUCUUUCUUAAGGUCCUUGAGUAUUUUAUUAUAGCUGAAUUCCUUCUUCAAACCCUGCACAGUAGUCAGGCUUUUCCUACCAUUUCGCUGCUGUACACGUAUGUGAACAUAGUCUUUUGACCCGGCAUCAGAAUUCUCAGCAUUUGCAUCAGCAAAAGGAUCUUCAUCACAUAAAAAACAAAAUUAGCCAAUUGCAAGCAAGAAGUUAGGACUUCCCUACCAGACUCCAGAAAUCUAGGAAGGCCAAUGGCCCAAUAGGAAGUAGGAACAGUCUCGUGUGAAUGUCACACAGCUUAUUUCUUCAUUCAGUUGUAUACUUAUCACAACUUCUAUCUACUUUUAUCUUUUCAUCAUGUCAACAUGCAAAUGUUCUUUAUACAUUAAAAAGGAAGGAUUAAAAAUGAGAAGACCAAAUAACUAUUUAAGGAAACAAUGGAAAUAACAACAGCACACCAAAAGCAUUAGUAGUCUGGAUAUCACAAAGAAAAUAUUUCUGAUAAAAACAAAGCAGCAUACCAAAUGCAGUUGGAGUUUGGAUGUCAAAAUCAGACAUGAAACUUGGCUGACGUAACAAACACUGCGUAUCCCUUGCACUAGUUGUAAAUGCUCAGACCUGCAAGUGGAGAACACAUGCUAAACUAUCAUUAUAUAAAGGUCAACUCCAGAUAGUCCAAAGAUUCUUCGAAAAAAAGAAAAAAAGAAAAAAAAAACCCCCAAAAGGGGAACAAAUGAUCAACUGUGAUUCAGUAUAUCUGAUUUUCAAAAGUUACCUAAUUACAUGCUCCUUAAGAAAAUGGACCCGAAAUUAAAGGCAGAAAAUUCCAGCAAGUCCCUUACUGGCUACCAUCAAAAUCACUAAACAACUGCAGUAAAUCUCACUUCCAGAACUUAUUUGAAAACAAAAAAUUAAGGUGGGUCACAAUAAACUCAUUUCUACAUAGAUUGGCAUUCACAAUAAAUGCAGACCUUAAUGGAGGUGCAACUGCUGUCCAACAAAGGAACGUCACAAAUUUUACUGGCAUGCACAAAUUAUACCCACCCCACCACUCAACAACCAAACUAAUUGUAUCAUCCAGCGCCAUCCACUAACUUUUGACAUUCUAAUUGAUAGUGCACAUAUAAAGCAAAUAAGUCAAUAUUUCGUAACUAAUGCUGAAAGAGGCACUGGUUCUUCAAUUUAUAAUCAUAAAAUAGGAAAAGAUAUCGCUUAUCCAAGUCAUGAUUUAAAAAAUAGCAAAAUUAUCAGUACAAUUUAUCAUGAAAUUCCAUAAAUAUGUAUCAAACUGGUCUUCCCUUAUUAUUCAGUUUUAACAAUAAGCUAAAUUUUAAGAAAAAAAUGAUAACCCCAAGCUAUACCAUAGAGUUUAUUACCAAAGGACUAACACUUCCAUCAUCUAAAAGGACUAAAAAGAUGGAAAGCAAAACACACCUUGAUGAGGAAAGCAUAAUCAAAACAAAGUUCAGUUCUUCAGAGUAUGAAUAAUGAUUCAAUCCGCAAAAAACACAAAUCAAAUUUAUCGAACUAAUCCCAAGGAAUAAAUCAAAGAUUAAGACUUUUAUCACCUAAAAGAUUGAAAAAUUCCCAAAACACUUCACGAUCGAUGCGAACCAAUCAAAACAGAAAAGCACAAAGAACAUAAAUUUCAAUUCUUUUUAUAGCAUGCAGAGCUAUUUUAUCCAAAAAAAAUUCAAAAAGGGAAAAUUAAUACCAUCAGAUAAACCAUCGUUCAACUCGAAUCGAACCGAAUCGGAUCUGAAAGGAUCGUGCAUUUAAAUAGAAAAACUGGGUUCGAGCACUUACUUGAUCCAAAGACUAGGGUUUGGCAAGAAAUUGAAUUCUGCAACUAAAGAACUGAACCCCAACGUGUGAGCCCGAGCAGGGAUUGACAGACGUCAGUGCUUGGGUAGAAAAGAAAAAAACCUGCGCGUUCAAAUCGAGUUUAUAUAAGGAUGCUAGAUUAGGGUUUUCGUGAUUUGGGUUGUCGGUAACUUGGGGGUGUACGUGGCGAUUUUCCAGAGCAGGUGCAAGUGUGAUUUUUAAAGUAGGGGAGUACCAAUACUUUGCUUGAUUAUUUACUCAAAACGUUCCCAUCGUUUGUACUUAUUGUUCAAUUUGUUCUAUCGUUUUCUACUUGAUAUUUGCACCCUUCAUUUAACCUUUUCUUGUAUGUAAAGUUGGUCAUUUCGGUGUUAUUCCAUUAAUUUCUUCCGUCAAAUAUGAUGAAUUAGUACAAAAUGUUCCUAUUGUUUGCAUUCAUUGUACAAAUCGUUCCUAUGGUUUCAAUUUUGAUCUUUGAACUCUCAAAUCAACCUUUAUUUGCACAAAAAUUAUCAUCUUUCUUCUCCAUCAAAGCAUUGUAAAAUAAAUAAUUGACUAUCAUCUUUAAAUAAACAAAUAGAAAGGAAAAACAGAAUAUAAAAAAAAUUGCAAUUAGAGCCUCAAGUUUUUUAAAAGUACAAAGUAGUCACUUAUAAUAUGGGGCAAUUACAUCUAAUGAUGACCGAUUAAGACAUUUUUGACGUGCCAGCUAACAAUAUUCUAAUAUAGUUACAAGAUAUUCAUUUUUUUUUGGGUCUAUAACCGUGGGUGUUCGUACCAACCUGUGCACGCCUUGACUUAUUCCUCGAGGCUCUGAAGUUAAUGGCAAGAUAAACCUCUAGUGAUCCUGGAGGGACUCGAACUGAUGAUUAUUGAAGAGCAAAUUCAGACUUAACCACUGAACUAAUCCCUCAGGGGUUAAUGACACGAUAUACUUAUUUAUAUUCCACGUGGUUUUUAACUUAAUUUCAAACAAUAAAAAUAGUUCCAUUGGCGAAGUGGAAGACAGACUCGGAUAAAUUUACCCCACACUACAAAAUGCAAUCAGUUCGAUUGGGGUAAUGCAGAAUACGUAUGUGAACAUGACAUUUGUGCAGGAGUGUAGUUCCCUUUGAAGGAGUCUAAUUUUUUGAUAAUCAAACCCCUGUGAAUCAGUUACGAGUCCAAGUCCUUUUCUUCUUCCCUCUCAAAUCUAAAUCACAGAGAACUUGAAAUAAAUUCUUCCAUUGGAAAGAUACUUACUCGCCUAUAAAUUUUUCUAAUGACCUAGACUGGAUAGAUUACUUCAAAAAACAUAUAGCCACCAUCAUUCAGAGAAAUGUGCGUGGUGUUUCCUGAAACAUUCCGGUCUAGAUAUUACCUGCGGCACCCAUCGAUGCACUUUGUUUACAGACAAUUCUGUGAAUUGCCAAGUUUGUGACACAGAAAAUAUCAAGAUAGAUUUGAACAAAUAAGAUGGAUAAUUUUUAAAUCCAGACUCCAAACAUCAUAGCUGAAGAAAUAUCAAAAACAGAUCAACAGGAUAGUCAAACACAAACAUCAUUUUACAAACAAAAUGAACAACUUUAAAACAUAAAUUAACCUAAACACGAAACACAGAAACAACGAAAGAAGUUUCAAAACAAACACAGCAUAAGCACUGAAAUUUUCAAAUCCAAGAGGUCAAAUAAAAUGGAUUUAGAUACUAUUACAAAGGCAGCAAAAUGCUCACACUAGAUGAACACCAAUAUAACCAUUUUGAUGAUCGCUCCAAAAGUUUAAAACCUCAAAACAUAAUUAGUGUCCGUUCGUCACCCUUUAAAAUGUUAAAUUAUUUGUUAUAUAUAGUAUCAUUCUCCAUCACAUUCAUACAAUAUAAUAUUCUAUACUCCGAACAAAUAAAAUUUCUCUACUUCUUUAACCGGACGACGUUUAAAAAAAAAACUACUUAAAACUCUCUAAUUUUCCAAAUAGGUCACAAGCAAGGGCUUAAAACCAAGACCUUCACAAGAAAACAAAGGCAAACUGCAAAUACUGUCACACAGCUUACCAGCAAUGAAAUUGCAGAAAAAAUAAACAAGAAUAUUUAUCAGCAAGUCCUUAGUUAUGUUACUACUAACUAAAACAUUUCAAUAAAUACAUAAUAAGAAAUACAUAAAAGGCUUCACUUUAUUCAUGAAUUGGAUUUCCCAUCAACCUUAAAUUGUAGAGAGACUAAGCAAAGCGAUAUUUCAAACCAAAGAGAAAAUAAACCAUUCAAAAAUGGCUACUUGAAACCAAACACAGGUCCACAGAGAAAACGAUCGAACACAAAAGAAAGAAACAUCACAAUCAACGGACAGACACCAUCAUAGAACGACCAAAAGAACAGCAACUUCACAGGCCACCACGGAGUCGGAGGACAAGGUGAAGGGUAGACUCCUUUUGGAUGUUGUAGUCAGCAAGAGUCCUCCCAUCCUCCAGCUGCUUUCCAGCAAAGAUCAACCUCUGCUGGUCAGGAGGGAUACCUUCCUUGUCCUGAAUUUUUGCUUUCACGUUGUCAAUUGUAUCUGAGCUUUCCACCUCCAAAGUGAUGGUUUUCCCGGUCAGCGUCUUAACAAAAAUCUGCAUGCCUCCCCUCAACCUCAGCACCAAGUGCAGAGUUGACUCCUUUUGAAUAUUAUAAUCUGCCAAU
rnacentral:lncRNA from 1 species